GAGGGAAGGGAGAACGGAGGGUCUUCGCCGAAGAAGGAGAGGGCGACGGCGACUGGUCGCACUGUUCGCCAGUAUGGUUGUCUUCAUUGGGCGUCGGAGGUGCGACAGAACUUGGCUAGGUGUUGGGGUUGAUAGUGGCGGAAAGAGAGAAACAGCUGCGGCGCCAUGGCUGGCGUUGCUGAUUUGGUCUCUUGCCGGUGAUGGCGACGGCGGAAGAGGGUAGUUGAUGGCGGCAUGGUGGUUGGAGGCAGCGCGGAUAGAUCAGAGAAGAGGGGGAGAUCGAGAUUUAGAGGGAUUUUGUGGAGAGAGAGGAGAGGGGAGAUAAAGAGAGAGUGUUGGAAGCGGAAGUUUUUAAAAAAUGACUAGGGUUUGGGAUAUUAGAUUCUUAAAAGAAAAUAGAUGGUCGAAAUCAUCUCUGUCGUUAGAUCAAUUUUGAUCAACAACUGGGAUUUAAAAUGGGGUUAACUCUUCAAUUUUGAUAUAUUUGUGACUAAAAUUGACACGAGCUGAAUUUUUGAUAUAUUUGUGACUAAAAUUGACACGAGCUGGAUUAAAAUUGGCUAGAUUUGUAAUAAAUUGGAUAGAAUGGACUAAAAUUAUAGUGACUUAGACAAAAAUUAGACUACAAGAUAAAUUAAUUGGCAAAGUAAUUGUAAUUUGGGUUUUUAUUUAAAUAAUAUAUAAAUAAUGAAUAAUAAUGAUAAUAAAUAAUAAUAAUAAAAAUAAUAACGAAAAUAAAUAAUGCUAAAUAAUGAAAAACUAGAUAAUGCAUUUGCGAAAAAUGUAAGUAUGCCCUGUUAUGUGAUUUCGAUUAGGCUGUUAUUUAAAUUCUAGUAGAGAUAAUAGAAGUAAAUAAAUAAUAUAUAAUAAUAAUAAAUAAUGAUAAUAAUAAUAAUAAAUAAUAUAUAUGAUAACCAUGUUAAUAAGAAGAAGAAUAAUGAUGCUACACUAGACAUGUAUUUGCAAAACGUGAGUGUGGCACGUUAAAAAUUUGUUUGAUACAAAAAAAUGUGUAAAAAAUACUAAAAUGUCAUCUAACAUAGCAUCAAACUUAAUUAACAAAUAGAACACAGUACACAUUCAUGUACACAAAGACCCCCCAAAAGAAAAUGGAUUAGAUGAUAACCAUGUCGCCGGUCGGUCUGUGAAGAGUACAGUGUACGCAGACCUUCUCGAAAACUUAUUCAAACUUGAAGAUUCUUGUAAAAUAAAACACAUCAUGUAGGAUUUUUGCAAAGAUGAGAGUAUGCAGGGUUACGAAGAAAAAAUAAUUUAAUAAAUCUUAAUAAAAUUACGUAAAAAUGUCGUGUUUGAAUGGAUAAAUAUUAUUAAACGAUAUUAAAAGAUAAUAAAAAUAAUUUGUGCACUUUUCUAAAUUAUAAAUGUGACUCUUCAUUAUGUAUUUAAUGUAAGGAUAAUGUGAAAAAUAGUAAUAUAGAAAUUUCAAAAAUUUUGAUAAAACAUCAGCUUAAGCAAUAGCGGGAGGUCAAAAUUGGGUGUCAACAGGGAGAAAAUGAGGAUAGAGUUUGAUAUUUUGUUUAAAAGGAGAGAUUGGUUAAUUUGAUCUCAGCCGUUAGAUCAACUUUGAUCAACGACUGAGAUUAAGACAUUUAAAAGUAGGUCAAUUAGAAUUUAAAUUAGGUUAAAAAAAUACUGAAUUGGAGAUUUCGAUUAAGUUAAUACAACGUAUUAAUAUGAUGAAUUGUCGUUUAAUUGUCUUUAUUAUUAUAACUUCAAUAAUGUAUUAUUACCUCGAUCAUAUGAUGUUAACGUAUUAUUCAAAAUAUUUGGAUAUAUAUAUUCAGUUAGCUAGCUUUUAACUAUAUACAUCACAUACACGAGUAUAUUACCUCGUAAUACAGCGUAUUUUAUUUCUACUCUGAUGAAUUAUUAAUUAAUUUAGCUUACAUUAUUAUAUUAUAAUUUCAAAAAUAUAUUAUUACCUUGAUCAAUCGAUCGUAUGCCAUCAAUGUAUUCAAUAUAUAUAGUUGAUUGACUAUAAAAUUCACAAUAUAUACUAGAUACAUCACAUCCACAUGUAAAUUAACUCGUAAUACAACGUUUUGUAUAUAUACAAUGAUAAAUUAUCAUUUAAUUUAGCUUAUAUUAUUAUAUUAUAACUUCAACAGUAUAUUUUUUUUGAUCAAUCGAUCGUAUGAUAUCAAUGUAUUCAAUAUAUAAUUGAAUACAUUUAACUUUUUUUAAUAUAAAAAUUAUUUAUUUCAUAGUAAAUUAAAAAUCAAACAUCGAAGGACAGUGUCGUUUUCAUAAAGUUAAUUUUUAUUUAGUUUUAACAAAAGCGAUGAUGUCCGUUGUUUUUUGAAAAAAUAAAGAAAAAUUAAAAAUAUUUAUAAAUUGCGACGGACAGUGACGCUUUUAUAGAAUUAAAAUUUUAGAAAAUAAAAAUUAUUGCGACAUUGUCCGUCGCUUUUAAUAAAACUAAACAAAAAAAAUAAAAAGCGACGGACUACUUCGCUUUUUAAAAAGUUAAUUUCUGUACAAAAGCGACGUUGUCCAUCACUUUUUGUAAAAAAUAAAGAAAUAUUAAAAAUAAUUACCAAUUGUGAUGGACAACGUCGCUUUUCUAAAAUUAAAAUUUUUGAAACUAAAAAUUAUUGCAACGUUGUCAGUCUCUUUUAAUAAAAAUAAACAAAAAUAAAAAUUUAAUUUAAAAAGUGACGGACAACGUCGCUUUUCAAAAAAAAAUAUUUAAUUUUAACAAAAGUGACAUUGUCCGUCGUUUUUUCUAAAAACUAAAGAAAAAUUUAAAAUAAUUACAAAUUACGACGGACAACGUCGAUUUUCUAGAAUUAAUAUUUUAAAAAAUAAAAAUUAUAGCGACAUCGUCCGUCGCUUUUAAUAAAAAAUAAAUAAAAAUAAAAAUCAAAUUUAAAAAUCGACGGACUACGUCGAUUUUAAAAAAAAAAUUAUUAUUAUUUUUUAAUAAAUUACGACGAUGUCCGUCACUUUUAUUAAUAAAAUAUUAUGAAUUAUUUUUUAAUUAAUUGGCACAAAAAUUCAUGAAAAAAGCGAUGGAUAUUGUGACGUUGGUCGUCAUUUUUCAUAAAAAAUAAAUAAAAAUUAAAAUUAAACUAAAGAGGCGACGAAAAAAGUGACCUUGGCCAUCGCUUUUAAUAAAAAAUAAAUUAAAAUUAAAAUUAAACUAAAAAAGCGACGGCCAACGUCGCUUUUAAAAGCGACACUGACCGUCGCCUUUUUUUGCGUUGCUUUUUGGCAAUUUUUUAGUAGUGUAUGAAUGCGCGAAAAAUCAUAUUUUAAUGAAUGAUUGCGCUACACUGUCAAUGGCCAAUAGAAGACUGCCACUUGUCCUUAUGUCGUUUGAGAAUGGCCAACCCACUAGCGUAUAGUAGAUGUGAUUCUGCUGAGGGUUGUCGUCGCACCUGAAUACUCUAACACACCGCCCUUUUAUCGGUCCUUUGAUGCAGUCGAGAUCGUUAUCCUCUCGGGUCAUUCCGUUGUUACUAGAGAAGCCAUUCCCUAGUGUUGCGCUUGCUAGAUCUCGAGAUGAUGCUAUCGCGGGCCCGUGCAUAUUACACCCAACCCGGAUCGGCCUAGUCUCAGUCAAAGCUAUUUACCUCAUACAGCUUGAAUCAUGCAUAGCUUUAAGAACCCAUCUGAGAAAAUAUAUGUUCUAUGACUCCCAAUUAACAAAUGAUAGGAUUCAUUUUACAAUAGGAUAGUGAUUUUACCGUAACCAUAUACAGCACUUCAUAUAUGUUGUACCAAGGGCUGUAAUAUUUAUACCUUGGUCUUGGAGGUUGGCAUUACUUUAAUUUCUUUCACUAUUCUUCAUUGAAGCAAGAUUGGAUCGGAUCAGAUAGUUUCACAAUGCAAAUCCAGGGUUUGAAUUUUAGGAGUUGCUACCAUAAUUUUAACUUAAUAUAUUAUAAUAGCUGAAUUAACAGUCAAAUAUUAUAAUGCCUGGAGAUUUAAAAAAUAUUCAAAUAAGUUUUGGGCGAAAGUUAUUAGGUUCCUGUAAUAUCACACGAACAUACAGGAGUUGCCCCUAUUUACGAUAAUUUCCAAAGUUAGGAUACUUGAUCGUCCAAUAUAUGUAACAUUGUUAUUGGCUUAGAAUCUUAAUCAGUACUCAUAAGCUUCUCUUAUUCAGGAGAGUGUCACUUCAGUUUAAAACCAACAUACUUCUUCCCCAGCUAUCCUUAGCUGUGUGUGUUUCGUACUACAUUAAAAACUAUGAUAAAAAGUUUUAAUAAUGCAAAGAAAGGACAAAGAGAAGGUGAUUAAUGGGGUGUCUUCUGAAAAGUCACAUGAUGAGACAUGUCUUUUAAUCUUUUCCACUUUGAAGAUUGCUUGGAAUUAAAGAGAUAUAAUCGACAUUAGUUAAACCAGCUCACAUGCUGCCCAUCCAACUGCCAAUUAACAACAAAAAAAUUUGGCUCGAUAUAUAUAUCGAUGGUUCUUUAAAUUUUUCUACAAAUUUAUUUGGACAUUCAAAUGACGACUUAUUUUAAUUGAACAAUAUUUGUUCACAUCAUAAAAUAUUUCUAUUAGCUAUCUUUUAUCUAAUUUUAGAAAAAAAUUUGAGUGUGUUCUUAAAUGUCUGUUGCAUAAAUAAGUUAAAACAGAUAAAUAUAACAUCUAUAAUAAUUAUACACAUGAACAUUAAUUAGAAAACUUUGGGAGUUCUAAACCUUUAUUAAGGCUAAUUUAGGUAAUGAUCAUUUAACAACACGUGUAAAAAUAUUUUCAAAAUUUGAAUCAAAAGAGUUUAAUAGUAAUAUUUUAUCAUGUUUUCUAAUAUAUAAUAGAAACAAAUCAUAAUGUAAAUAACAAUUUUUUUUUUUGAAAAGUUCAAGGGUCAUUUAAACGCAAGGGGUAAAUUUCUCCUGAAUGCUAAUAAAAGGGUAGUCGCUUUUAGUCUAGUGGAGCUUUGUCCCGGAAUACUUUUAUCAACAGUGUGGAAGCAUCUUUUGACCUAAAACUGUGGAUUGGCCUUUAUAAACUACUUUCUUUAAUUAGCAGUAAUAAUUUGAAAAGUCACAGUCACACACAUGUGUUGUCAGAUUUAAGCAUAGGCCUAGCUUAACUAACAAGAUGAAUUUCUUUAUUAAUUACCAUUCUUAAAAGCCAUUAUUUUCUAGUAAGCAAACUCCAUAUACUUUCAAACUCCUAUCCAAUAUUCUCUCAUCAGUAAUGACCCAUCAUCUCUCUCAGAGUGAAUGUAUUAAGAAUAGGAAACAAUUAUAGAACCAUCUUUCUUCUCUUGUUCUUGUUUUUGUCUCAAUUGUUCAUGGUUUCUGGUAGAUCAUUCCCUCUUAUAGACAAACUUCCUAGAGAAUCAAGAAGAUUAAUUGGUUCAUUCACAUCACUCUCUGUUAAUCCUAGUCAGGUGAAUGAAUCAAUUAUAGCACCUGAGAAAGCUGUGAAAAAAAGUUUAAGGAGAAAGCCUCCAAGUUCUUGGAACCCAAUCCAGAAUAAUUUGCAUCCAUGAUACUCAAAAGUAAAGGUUACUAUGGGGAUGUUUUUUUGGUCCAAGAAGAUUACAUUUUAUAUUGAGUUCAAAAGUACAGGAAACAUUUUGUGUUUGUGAAGAUAUAAAUGAGUCUGUACAAAAAGUACGUACUUGGCAUGGGUGGGAGCACCCAACAGUGGUUUGUAAUUCUGCGGGCGUAUUGUGGUGUGAUUCCACAAGUAGAGUUCCCGGUUGAUAUCAUCCUUUAGGGUAUCCUGAACAAAGAAGGGUGCUUCAUCAAAAACUGUGAUGGAGUUUUUGUGAAGACACGUACAUUAUAUUCAUAGUCACGGUUUAAUUGGGAAUACUAAUUCUAUCAUGCUUUAAUCAGGUUGAAUCGCUAUUCUUCCUAGCAAAUCUCUGGAUUUGGUGUCUGUCGCUCACGCUUUCAUCAGUGAUUACCAUCAUCAUUCGUCAAGUCGAUGAAGAAUCUCUUUAAAAUUUAGUCGAAUUAGUGAUCAGGGGAUGUAAGGAAGCGGAGGAAGCUACGUCAUUUGUUGCACGGACUGGAUUGUACAUGCUUUUUUUUUCUUAUCGUAGAUUUGAAUGUGCCUAUCCUUGUUUUUUUUUCUUUUUUAUAGUUUUGUUUCUUUUACAAAUUUGAGGCAAAUAGAAAGGAGUGGCUUUAGUAAAAAUUAAUGCUCUUCUGACAAUUUUGCAGCUUUUCCUCUCGAACAAAAAGAAAUAAUGAUAAAAUUAUCGCUUUUCCUCCUCGUGCAAGUGUUAAAUUAUCAUUAUUUCUUUGUCUAUAUGAACUACUCCUGGUAGGAAAAGGCUGGACAAUUAAGUGUAUUCAGAGCAUCAAGAUUCAAGAACUCCCUAGCUUGAGAAAGUACUUCUCGUCUGAUUUUCUUGAAGAAUUUGAAGCUUUAUUUAAUGAUAAAAUUUCCUGUAAUUGUUUAGAUGCAUUUUCAUAUCUAUGUUUUCCUUCUUUUUUUGGGUAGUAGCAUUAGGCCUAGAUUAUACCAUGUUGAGUGAAAAUGGCACUCAUCCAUUUGGGAAACAAUAAGUUGUUACUAUAUCUUCCCCCUUCUUAGUCUUAAGUUGUUGCUAUAUUUUUUUUUUGGAGUGGGGGCUAUUGUUUUUAAUCUUAAAUAAAUGAUGGGAAUAUGUACAAAGAACAUAUUUGUGGCGCACUGUUUACAUAUUUACCAAAACAAUAGUUUUUGAGAUAACUGUUUUCCAAUUUUAGUCAUUCAACCAGAAGUUCUUACGGGAACUACUUCAAAUUAUUUGUUUUUAUGAGGUUUAUACUCUUUAUGUUGUAUUUGUAAUCUAUUUUUCAUAUGAAAUUUGAAAGUAAAAGUUAUUUUAAACAUAUUUAUGAUAUAUAAUACUAUAAGGUCAUUAUUCAAAUUUUACUUUGAACUUAACAAAUUAAAUUAAAUUAAAUCAUAUAAACUGGGAUAGAAGAAAAUACAUCGAUUUAUAUAGUAUAAGUAGCAAUUAACAUAUUUUUGCUUUCUAGACAUAUUUAACAUUAUUUAGCUUAUUGCCCUACGAGGGAGUGCUUUUCUCUUAUCCUUUGUUACUAGUACUUUUUAUUCUCUAAUUUUAUUUUAUUUUAACAAACUUAAAAUGUGAAGGGACUUUAAAAUAUUCUUCAAAUUUUUUAUCAUUUAUUAAAAGUCUUUGUUUUAGACAAAAUCAUCUUUUCACUAUUUUUCCUGAUAUUUAACAGUUGAAAAUUAAUUAAAUAUAUUUAUGGUAAAACCUUUCCUAAUUAGAAGUAAUCAAAAUUAAUAACAACUAAUAUUUUCUUAUUAGUUUAAGAAUUUUAAAUCAACUAAACUUGAUUUUAAAAAGAUUUGAAAAAUCUAGAAAUAAAUAUAAAAGCAUUAGAAUAAGAAAAAUUUAAGAAGUAUCAAAUUUUGUAAAAAAUUAAUUACGUAAUAAGAAUAUAAUCGAUGAUUUUUUAAAGAUCUAACUUUAAAAAUAAGAAAACAAUUUAAAUAAAGAAAAAAAAUUAAUCGCACCACAAAUAUGGUUCAAAUUGAUGCUCUCUCUUAUACUCGAGCAACAAUGGAAAGAGGUACUGCAUGACAAACGCAAAAGUAAUGUUCCAUAAAUGACCUGAAACUUCUAGUGGUAAAAUAUGUAUGUGUUUAUACUAAAAUAUAUAUUUUUAUUUACAUCAUUAUAUUAAAGUGUGAAGAAUGUCUGAAAAGUGAUUUGAGAUUUUUACACUUCAUUAAAUAAUCGUGAGAUUAAAUUAGUUAUAAAAAUGAGAGAACAAAAAGAUGAAAUAAAAUGUGAUUCCAUUUGCUAAGAUGUUAGACGGUGAACACACACCUAUAUAAAAUUAUAAAUUAAACUGAAAGAGUAAAGUUCAGGCAAAACAUAAAAGAACAGAAAAAAGAUGCACAUGUGCAUGAGACAGGCACAAAAUAGCAUGGAGGGAGCGCAUGUUAUUGGAUCUGCCAAUAUCUCCAAUGAUUGCUACCUAAAUACUUUUCUCCUGUUACCUUUACAGCUAAAUUGAGUUCUUGAUCUGACUUGUAAUUCAACACGCUAAUGAUAUUUUUUCUAUUUAUUUAAUUUAUGUAUACUAAACAGUGUGAAAAAAUUACUCUAUUAAUAUAACUUAAUUUGCAGGAGUGCGUUGGAAAUCAUUUUUACUAUAUUAUCAAUAAUUACUUUCUAUAAAAAUUUAUUUAUAGAUAACCUUAUUAGUUUGGUAUGUUAUAUGUGAUAAUACACAGAACUUAAGUCUUCUCUUUCCUUUUCUUCCAAAAACCCCUUUUAUCCUACUUCAGAGUUUUUUUUUUUUUUGAAAAACUACAUAAAGUAUCAAACUUAAGCAUGAGAUUAUAAAAAAAUAACAAUAAUUUUAUUAAAUUACAUUUUGUAACAUCCAUAACAUUAUUUUAUGUGAUCCCUACUUUUUAUCCAUUUGGAGAAGUAACUGUAAGUUUUUCCUAUUUUCACGCCAUUAGCUUUCUCUUUCAUUAUUUUGAAAGAUUUUUUGCCAUUUUUUUCACCCUAAAUUAUAUCUUCCCGCUCCCAUUUUUUUUUACUUUGCACGAUUUUAGCAUCAUCAGUAAAGAUUAUCUUCAUCUAUUUCAGGUAACUCUUAAUUUAGCUAUUGCAUGUUAGCAUUUUUUUGGGGGGAGGGGGGAUAAAUUUCAGAAUUAGCAAACUUUAAUAUAUCUCAAAAUCAGAAUUUAAGGUUUUUGAUUUUAAUGGCUGAACAAACACCAAAGUCACGUACAAAUAGUGGUAUAAGUAAUUCAAAUUUGGUCUAUGAUUGUGGACCAUCUUUUAGUCUUGGGUUAACUCAAGAAGAUGUAGUUAAAGUUGUUUCAAAUUCUUUACAGUCGAAGAAAUCUGAGAAACCAGAGGAGAUUAGGUCGAAGUUUCACAACGAUCUACUGAAGAUGAAAAAAAAAUUGAUAAAAAAACCGUUGAAGAAAUCGCCUUCUUAGAAGGAAAAAAAUUUAAAAAAAUCGAGAAGAAAAGGAAAGCGAAAGAAAUUGAAGGUUUGACUAAGGUUGAUGAGGAUGUUCAGAUCUCUUUUGAUGAUGAUUCUGAAGAUGUUAGCGAGGAAGAGGUAUUUUUUGUUCUAAAUGUAUUUUUUUAGUAAAAUGUAUUUUGGCCCAAGUAAAAAUGUUGUUAAAGUUGUAAGUUAUAUGUAUUUUUUUGAUGUAGUUAAUAUGUAUUUUGGUGUUAUGAUUAUAUUUUGUGAUUAAAUGUUGAUUUGUGAAGAUGAUAGUAAAAUUGUGAAAAUAUAUUGUUGUAUUAACUAGUCAUGAAGAGUAUAUUGGCUAUAUGUAUUUAUUAGCAUAAAUGAUUUGUAUUUUUCACUGUUGGUUGCAGUUUUGAUAUGGUAAGAAAUACAUAUGUAUGUUAAUUUUACUUGAAAUACUACAUCAGUCUGUUGGAUAUAUGUAUUUUAGUAUAUAUGAUAUGUAUUUUUCAGUGUUGGUUGUAGUUUUGAUAUGAUAAAAAUACAUAUGCAUAUUAAUUUUAGCUUAAAUACCAGAACAGACUAUUGACUAUAUGUAUUUUUAGUAUAUUUGAUAUGUAUUUUUCAGUGUUGGUUGCAGUUUUGAUAUGAUAAAAAUACAUAUGCCUGUUAUAUGUUUUUUUUUAUUUUUAUUGGCUGCUUGAUUUUUUGGCUGCAUGUUAUAUGAUUCUUUGUAUAGGUGAUGCGGGAUGAAAUAUUCAUUGUCAAAAAGCUUCCAAGAUUUGCACCACAUAUGUGUUCUUACAGUAACAAAGAUAUUUAUGGAAGAAUACGCGCAAUUUUAAACAAGGAACAGUUUAAAAACUUUUGCGACAAAAAUAUUUUUGGUUAGUUUAUGAAGAAGCAGCAAUUUGUAGUGCAAGCACAGUUAUGCAGAUGAGUUAUGACGCUUGAGGUGAAGGGUAGUUCUUCAUCUGGGAUUCUAAUUUGUGCUAAUGGGACCUUUCUUAAUUUUACUCCUAGGGAAUUUGCUAUCAUAACUGGAUUGAAUUGUGUGUCAAAUAGAUAUGACUUUAUCUUUGAAGAGGGUGUACCAAAUAGGAUGGUUGAGAAGUAUUUCAAUGGGGCAGAAAUUAUACAGAAAAGNNNNNNNNNNNNNNNNNNNNNNNNNNNNNNNNNNNNNNNNNNNNNNNNNNNNNNNNNNNNNNNNNNNNNNNNNNNNNNNNNNNNNNNNNNNNNNNNNNNNNNNAUACCCCAUCUUCAUUUCGAUUUGGUCGAUAGUGGGAGAUAUAAGGUUUUUCAUGGGAUUUUUUAUCUUUUGAAGAUCUUGCCAGAAGUUUGAACAAUCGGUUGAAAGCUGGUGGUCAAUUUUAUUUGAUUCAGGGAAUGCCACUGGCUAUUCAAGUGUGGCUUUACGAGUGUUGUUCAAAUGUUCCACCAAAGAUUUCAUCAAAGGUUGAUAAUCGGAUUCCUCGAUUAUUAAAUUGGAAGACAAUUGCACUUCGUCCACGCUUUGAGUUUUUGAUGAAUGCUAUAUUCAAUGAAAAUGGCAAGGUUUGUUGUUACUAAAUACAUAUGUAUUAAUAUGUAUUUUACAGUAUACAUAUAUACAUUUUCAUUUGCAAUUGUUUAACUGAUUCUUUAACAUAUAUUAUUUACCUAUUAUUCUAGGUUGUCUUUAAGAACAUAGAGCCAACGAAAAAGAAGCUGUCAAAAUUGCAAAUACCAUAGAAGGAUGCAAUACUGUAAUACCCCGCAUGUUUCUAAGUUAGGAAGUUAAUAAGUAUUCCUACGUAUGAAAUCUCCUAUCCUGUGACUCAUACUUGAGUACAUGACUUACAAUGAAUAUCCUAGUGAUAGGAUAGCUUAUGAUACAUUAAGCAUGUUCAUAUGAGUCACUUAAGGUAAUACAAGCUAAGAGUUUUUCAAUCCAUCAAAUUUUAGUGUUUGAUUUUGCAAGGGUCAUCUUUGAAUGAGUAUAACUUAAUAUUAAUGUGGUAUUUUAGAUGAUUUAGACCCACCAGAUUGUAGAGAAUCAAAUUAGCUUUUCAACUAUACCAAUUUCGCCUUAAUCCAAUACCCGAGCGAAAAGUUAUGCCCAUUUUCGUGAGAGACAGUAAGCAUAGGCAAUUGGUUAGACACCGCCCAACCCAAGCAUAGGCGAUUACUUGGGCACCUCUUAAGUCAAUUCCAGGUGUUAAAAACACUCUAUUUUGGGUUAUUUUAAAGGUAAUUAAGUCUUUAAAUACUCCUUACACAUCCCUAAACUUAAAGCUACGAAAUAUAUAGCUUCUAAACAUAUUGCAACCCUAUUUUCAUAUCAAAGCUCAUCAUCCAAGAGCACUAAAAGAGAAAAACAACUAGGGUUGCAUAAUUAAGCUUGAAGAUCCGAUUUUAAGGAAAUUCCUCCGUCAAUCAUCAAGAAUCUUCCUUCUAAGGUAUNNNNNNNNNNNNNNNNNNNNNNNNNNNNNNNNNNNNNNNNNNNNNNNNNNNNNNNNNNNNNNNNNNNNNNNNNNNNNNNNNNNNNNNNNNNNNNNNNNNNNNNNNNNNNNNNNNNNNNNNNNNNNNNNNNNNNNNNNNNNNNNNNNNNNNNNNNNNNNNNNNNNNNNNNNNNNNNNNNNNNNNNNNNNNNNNNNNNNNNNNNNNNNNNNNNNNNNNNNNNNNNNNNNNNNNNNNNNNNNNNNNNNUUUGAUAAAAUGCCUAAGGAACUAGAAAUCAUGUAAUAUAGUUAAAUUGUGACUAAGUGAAGGAUUCAUGAUAUGUCCUUACGUUCCAAUGACUUCUAUGUUGUUAAUGUGCCUUGUAAAUGUUGUUGGAAUAAUCAUGAACUAUUCUUAUGAGAUUAUGCUAUGUUUACUUGCAAAUCCUACUUAUGAACAAGAUGUAUGAUAACUAUGCAAUCCACAUGAACUUCCAUGCUAUUGGUAUGCGUUGCCAAUAUGACUAUGCAAUGAACAUGAUAUUAAGAUUGCGCAAGUACUUCCAUGUAAUAUGAAAUCCUUUCCAUGCAAUACAUUGUUGAUAACCAUGCUUAGUAUGAGAUCCCUACUUUUGAUAUUAUAAAUUAUGGACUCUACUCUUAUGAUCAAGUCAGUCAUGUGUGUCAGUUUCCUUCCAUCGAGUCCUGGGGGUACUUGUACCCGAAAACUAUAGUUGUGUGCCUAGAUCCAUGUUAUGUUUCAUGAUAUCUGAACUCAAGCUAUGAUUCCAUAGACUUCAGUCAGUCAUGUGACUCAAGAAAACCUCAUGAUCACCAUUAAUAUAUCCUCCGGAUUCACUAGGCAUCAUCACAUUAUCAAUAUAUCCUAUGGAUUCACUGGGCAUCAUCACAUCAUCAAUAUAUCCUCUAGGUUCACCGGGCAUCAUCAUAGCACCAUAGUCAUCAUGAAAACUAUAAUUAUAUACAUAUAUAGUCAAAUCAAUAACAAGUACAAGCCCACAAUCAAUAGAGUAUAAGAGAGGUAAGGAAAUACAUAUUAUGUUACUUCACCAUUAAUCAUCACCAUAUUAUAUAGGUAGAUGCAUGGGCAUGUAUAUCUAAAUAAUAUGAACAAUCACCAUUUUUCUGAUCUUGACAUGAUUAUUAGCAAGUCAAUUAUAAUUCAUGGGUAGGACUUCUAGAAUCUUUCUUUGCUUACAGGGCUAAAAUACUAGCAAGGAGGUCUUUUUACACAAACAUUAGUUUAGUCAUUAAUUCGAAAUCAUAAUAAGAGUUGUGACAUAAUUCAAGGUUCACUUAGUGAACUUGCCAAUAAGUCAAGUGAUAGCAUAACCAUAGAUUCAAUUCACUAGACUUUCUAAUGCUAUCCAUAUCAUGACAAUAAGAUAUUCAAUCAAGUAUACACAUUAUCCAAAAAUCAACAACAUGGACAAACCAUUAAUUGGGUUUAGCCAUCAUAUCACCAAAGGCAUAAUCUAGGCGUUCAUUACGUAUCUAGGUCACUAAUGAAGUUAUAUAGUUCAAGCUUAAGGAGGGUUAAGUUCCGCUUUUAAUAAUCCCCAAAUUCUCUUCUACAAGUCUAACAUCUACCUGAAAUUAGGCUAAGUUAUCUAAAUUGUGACUUAAGGGCUUACCAAUCAACACUAGUUUAAUAGGACAAUUCUUCUUCAAGUAUUUCUCCUAAGUAACCCCAAGCACCCAAAGUCAUUCCACCACUAAGCAUAUCGAGGUCAACAUACUUUUAAGGUAAGUGAACAAGGUCACUCUCAUCUACUAUAUCAACUAGAGUAUUCUCAUGCUAUUAAUGAGAUAACAAGUCUAACUAACCAAGGUUCUAGGAUACGAGUCAACUAUCCCACUUAAUGUGUUUCAAGACCUAAGUGAUCCAACUAGUCCCAAACAUUUUUAAUCUACCAUUUCAUUAUCUAAGACUCCGCCCAAUCCUAUCAAGAUAUCACAAUUAUACUACAAUAAUGCUCAAUCUAAAAAAAGUAAGACUAACCUAGCUUGAGUCAAAAUAGCUCACGAACCAACAAUCUUUACUUUCCCUUUCCUUGAGGCUUCUUCCACGAGCCAAGCUAUCAAUAACAUAAUCUAUGCAUUAUUACGAGAAUAACAACGCCCAUAUUGUACCAUUGUGCUUUCGAUCCAAAAUGACACCAAAACCACCACCCCCUAAGCGGGUCCCACAUACCAAAAAUAGGUUUUCGAAACCAACCCAUUGUUCAAAUACCAUUGGGGAGUUAUAACCCACAAGAAAUUUGUCCAAACAACCACAUUUGGGGCUAAAAAUCAUGGCUCGAGCCAUUUGGGGUUUUGGGUCUAAUAAUCAAGAAAUCAUCACUAAAAUUAAAGGAAUAUUACCUUAAAUUUGAUGUUAAUCACAAAUAUGCUAGUUGUUUAAGCUUCCAGUCAACACCCAACACAUACUUUGAUGACUACUCUCUCCAUUAGGAUAUUAGAGGCUCAAAACAAUGGAGAAACAACCAAAUUUUGGUCAAAAGAGGGCUCUUAUAUAAACCCUUCCAGGCCCCAAGAGCAGCGAUCACGUACCCUCUCUAGAUCACAAUCGCGGACAUUGCGAUCGCACUAUACCUCAUGCAAUCACGGUACCUUGGUGCACUAUAUGAUGGCUAAAACUUAGAAUUUGGUCAAGGCCUUGAGAUGCAUCCAGAGUCCAAUAUGACCAAAUGAGAUAUGUAACCAUAUAGAUUUUGACGUUCCAGAUGCAUUGGUGAAGUUGGAUUUUCCAUCCAAUAUCAUUUUUUAAAAGUUUUUGCUCGAUGGCCAUUUGGAACCAACAAAGACUUCUAAAUGGAGAAAUGGUUCUAACAAAUUAAAAAACUACCAGGUCACCAAACUAUUAGUUCCAGCAAGUCAUAAAUGACUUGGGGAAGCUAUGGAAAAGUUCGAUCGGCAAAAAUGAGCAGGAACAUAGAAAUGACUUGAAGGGUCAUCACAACAUCCACUACUAAGGAACUUUCAUCCCCAAAAGUUAAAGAUGAAGGAAAUACCUGAAGUCUUAAACAAAUGAGGGUACUGAGCUUGCAUCUCACUCUAAAUCUCCCAAUUGACCUUCUCUAUUGGGUAGUGCCUCAACUGAACCUUAAUUACAUGAAUCUCUUUAGUGCACAACCGCCUCAUAUCAUUAGCCAAGAUAAGAAUGCGCUGAUCAACAAAGGCAAACUGCUUAUCUAACUAGAUUGAGUCCCACCUAAUUACAUAAGAUGAAUUAGUAAUAUACUUCCACAACAUCGAUACAUAGAAAAUCGGAUGAAUAACAACAAAAUCUAGAGGGUAGGCUAACUUAUACACCACCUCGCCAACUGUACGGAGAAUUUCAAAUGGACUAAUAUAAUGAGGGCUAAGUUUAUCCUUCCUUCUGAAUCUCAUGACACCCCUCAUUGGUGAAACACAAAGGAACCCACGGUCACCAACUUUGAAUCUCUAGGCACAAAGUCUACGAUCGGCAUAGGCUUUCUGCCUACUCUGUGCUGUUAUCAGCCUAUCCUGUAUCAUCCUGACUUUUUUCAAUGAGUCUUGAAGCAAAUCCGCACCACAGGGUCUCACCUUAGAAGUCUCAAACCACCCUAUUAGAGAACGACAUCUCCUACCAUACAAGGUCUCAUAGGGCACCAUCUCAAUACUCUAAUGAUAGUUUUUGUUAUAUGUGAGCUCUGCCAAUGCUAAGUGUUGAUCCACUAUCCUCCAAAAUCAAUAACACAGUCUUAAAGCAUAUCUUCAAGCACCUGAAUAGUCCGCUCGUACUGGUUAUCUGUCUGUGAUGAAAAGAUUUACUCAAAUCCACUUGAGUACCCAACUCCUUCCAAAAUGCUCUCUAAAUAUCGUGAAGUAAUUACAAAACCACAGUCUGAUAUAACAAAAAUAGGCACCUCGUGCAAACAAACUAUCUCUCGAACAUAAAUCUGGGCUAAUCUCUUAGCAUUGAAGGUCAUCUAAAUAGGAAUGAAAUAUGCUGACUAAGUCAAACGAUCCAUAAUAACCCAAAUACCGUCAUGACUAUGGGAAGUACAGGGUAAACCACUAAUGAAGUCUAUAGUAAUCCUUUCCCACUUCUAUUAGGGAAUGGGUAAUCUUUGUGUCAAUCUACCUAGAAGUUGAUGCUCGCCCUUAACCUACUAACAACAUAGGAAACAAGCCAUUCUGCCACAUCUUUCUUCAUCCUAUCCCACUAGUAAUACUACUAGCUCAAAUCACUAUACAUCUUCGUUGUAUAUGGAUAAAUGGAAUAUCUAGUACUACAAGCCUCAUGAAGAAUCAACUAAAUCAAGUUGUCAAGUUAGGGAACACAAAUACGAUCCUUAGACCUCAAAAUAUUAUCGAAAUCAAAAGUGUGCCUCUAAGACUCACCACUCACCACCUGAUCACGAAGGAAGCACAACUUGUUAUCCUCAUACUGGCGAUCACGAACCCGCUCAAAUAAGGAUGACCUCACCUCCAUAUAAGCCAAAAUCCUUGCAAAAUAUCAAGGCGAACUAUCAAAUUGGCAAAGGACUGAAUUCGCCAUGACAUAGGCCUCUGAGAAACUGACAUACAAGCCAAGAUAACCUACUCACAGCCUUGCAACUCAAGGCAUCAACUACUAUAUUUGCCUUACUCGAAUGAUACAAGAUAGAAGUAUCAUAGUCCUUCAACAACUCCAUCCAUCUACACUGGCAAGCAUUAAACUCUCGCUAGGUCAAAAGAUACUGAAGGCUACGAUGAUUGGUGAAGAUAUCACAAUGCACACCAUACAAAUAAUACCACCAAAUCUUGAGCAAAAAAACUACCGCCGCCAACUCCAAAUCAUGAGUUGGGUUAUAGCGCUCAUGUACCUUAAGCUAUCUAGAAGAAUAAGAAAUAACUCGACCCUGCUGUAUCAAAAUACAACCAAGACCAACACCAGAAGUGUCAUAAAUCAUGGUGAAUCCCUCAUUCUCUACUAGAAGAGCUAACACUAAAGUAGAAGUAAGACGGUCCUGAGCUUCUCAAAGAUCAACUCACACUCCUCAGACCAUCGUAAAGGAACUUUCUUCCGAGUCAAUCAAGUCAUAAGGGCUGAAAUAUAGCAAAGCUCUCAACAAAAUGCCUAUAAUAAUCUUCCAAACCAAUGAAACUACGAACCUCACUCGAAGACGUAGGUCUAGCCCAAUCACAAAUCACUGAGAUCUUAGCUGGGCUUACCAUAAUAUCCAUUUUGGACACCCCAUGUCCAAGAAAUGACACUAACUCAAGCCAAAACUCACACAUAGAGAACUUGGCAAAAAGCACAUGAUCUCUUAGAGUCUGGAGCAUGACCCUCAAAUGCUGCGCAUGCUCCUCACUACUCGUUGAAUAACAAGAAUUUCAUUAAUAAACACAAUAAUGAAGGAUUCUAGGUAGGGCCUGAACACAUGGCUCAUCAAAUCCAUGAUUGCGGUUGGGGCAUUAGUCAACCCAAAAGACAUCACCAAAUACACAUAAUAACCAUAACGGGUCCUGAAGGCUGUCUUUGGGAUAUCUUCAGCUCGAAUCCUCAACUAAUGAUAACCUGAUCUAAAAUCUAUAUUAGAAAACACAGCUGCACCCUGAAGCUAGUUGAACGAAUCAUCAAUGUGAGGCAUAGGAUAAUGGUUCUUUAUCGUUACCUUAUUAAGCUACCUAUAAUCAAUACACAUGCGAUAGAACUAUCUUUCUUCUUAACAAACAAUAGAAGAGCUCCCCAUAGGGACACACUUGGUCUAAUGAAACCCUUACUAAGAAGAUCCCGGAGCUGAGAGUUCAGUUUUUUAACAAAGUUAGGGGGUUACCAAGCAGGUCAGAAGGAAAAAUAUUAGAAAACUCACACACAAUAGGAAUAGAGUGAAGCGACAGACUCUCUACUUAAGUAUAACAUACAUAAGUGGGAUAAGACUCGAAACCUCUUGAUAUAAGCAUUCUAGCACAAACAUAAGAAAUAAUCCCUGUUGGAUUGCGGCUAACCGCUCCUUGUCACAUAACUGUGGUUAUGCCAGGCAUGGUUAAGGUAAAAUAAUCCAUAAUCGCGUGAUAUUAGGAUAACCAGGCCAUGCCUAGAAUCACAUUGAAAUCCAGCAUAUCUAGAAUAAUAAGAUGAGCAUAAGUAUCAACAUCACUAACUAUCUCAACAUAUGAUCUGAAUACUCAAUCAACUCCUAAGAAAUCACCCAUGAGAGUAGAGACACGCAAUGACAUAAAUAAUAAAUCACUAGUCAAGUGCAGCUAUAGUGUAUAAUAAGUAGAUAUAUAAGAAUAUGCGGAUCUGGGAUCAAACAAAGAAAGAGCCAACUUUUGCCAUACCAAAAUCAUAUCUAUCACAAUAGCAUCCGAAGUCUCAGCCUUAAGUCUAGAAGGUACUGCAUACAAUUGACCACACCCGCCACCUUACUGGGCAUAUGACCGACCUCCUAUCCUGCCUACCUAAGUACCACCUUGACCACCCUGGUAACCACCCCUUCAACCUCACAAACCCUAAUAGGAGUAGCACCCUAUGCUAAAAAUACAUUACCUUACGACUAGGGCAGUCUCUCAAGAAAUAGUCGGAAAGCCUAUAAGUGAAACAAGAAUCACGAGUAGACCCAGAAUUCACAAAUCUAGCAAGACCGAAGUAACCACCACUCCUAGCAUGCCUGCAUAUAAACCUCUUAAAGACUGAUCUGAUCCCUUACUAGGGUGACCACUAAUAUCAAACUAACCUCUGUCAGUAGUCUAAAGAGCUGCCUGAAUUGGUCAAUUAGUCUGACUCUUAGGCUGAAAAAAUGGACAAAAGUGAUGCCCAACAUAAAAAGUGCCACCUCUAAAUAGGGAACUACUAUGUCUCCCAUUAAAUCUGUGGUGAUACUUGGGCCUCUUAUCAUGUCCCUUACGAUUCAUGUCCUCCAUCACUCUAGCAUGAUCAAGAACCUCAGAAAAAGUCCUACCCGGCACAACUAAACUCUGAGUAGACAUCCAAAAAGGAAGUCCCAAUCCUCUCACAAAGUAGCAAACUCUCUCAUUCUCAGUAUCCAAGAUAAAAGUUACAUGUCUGGACAACUCAUGAAAAUGAGCCUCCUACUCAGCAACUGUCAUAGAACCCUGCUCCAAUCUAGAGAACUGAUCUUUUAAUUGAUCCCUACGGUUGGGCAGCAUAUAAUUCUCCAAGAACAUCUUGGCAAACUAAGUCCAUGAAAGAAAAGAAGAUCGAACUGUCUUAGAAAUCAUACAACCUAUUCACCAGUGUUGAGAAGACAAAUCCAACUAAAAUGUGGUGUAAUUCAUACCAAGAGUGCUAACAAGGCCUAACCAUGAAGCCUAUCUACACAAGCAGUCUGAAACUUAAAUGCAUCCUCUUUAGGAGAACCAAAAACUCUAGGUGGAGCCAACAUAAAAAACUACCCAACAUCUUCUUCUCCUCGACAGACAUAGUAGGCUAAGUCACAACUGGUUGAGUGACCAUCGGCUGAACAACUGUCAGCAUAGGAGGAACCUCAACUCUAAGAGUUGUAAUUGUAGGCUGCACUCCAGCCCCAGUAGUCUACAAACCAUCAACAAUACCUAACAGUUGAACUAAAGCAUAUCUAAGCAAUAAAGAGGGAAUAAAACCUAGUUGAUCCUGGGCUGGUCCCAGGCCCACCGCUGGCUGAAUUGGAGAAAUCUCUAUCUCAGGUAUAGCAAUGGUUUUCGGGGAGGCCCAUCCUGAUCCUUAUCUGGGGAUACAUCAUGAGGCUGGGUCUCGAGUCCCUCAUCAUGUAUAGCUGAAAAAUGAGUCCUGGGCAUCUGCGAAAGAGUAAAGAAGAUAUCCUAUAAAUCAACUCAGUCUCUUAGUCAAUAUGAGUGAAAGAAGUGAAGGACUCCUAAGAAUGUCUCAUAGCCUCUCAAAAAUAGGAAACAGACGUCAACAUUUUGAUCCACAAGACUCUAUUAGACACUUGAUCUUGUACCAAUAAGAAUGGUGAAAUCUUAUCUGUGAUACUAAUUGGUCAUAACCUAAUUCACGAGUCGUGAUGGCACCUACCAAAACCCACCAGUAAGUAAGACAACACCAUAACCCAGAGCUAAGACAAUUGGUUACUUUGGUAGAAAUGCCCGAAAAGGGCCAUAAUAGAUGAAUCACAACAACAAACAACAACACUCUAUGAUAGACAAAAAAACUACAAAUACCAAUUCCCACAACCUAGUCAUAUUAGUACAAGAGCAUCUAAGUUUGGCAAUAGAAAAUACAACUCAAGUCUAAUAAUCUAGUGCGUAACUGCCUCACAUCAUAAGCCAAGUAAGCACGUGCUCCUGAACAAAUGUAAACUGCUUAUCUAAAUGGAUUGAGUCCCACCUAAUUACAUGAGAUGAAUCAGUAAUAUACUUCCACAACAUCGAUACAUAGAAAAUCUGAUGAACAACAACAAAAUCUGAAGGGUAGGCUAACUUAUAUGUCACCUGGUCUACUGUGCAGAGAAUCUCAAUUGGACUAAUAUAAUGAGGGCUAAGCUUACUCUUCCUUCUGAAUCUCAUCACACCCCUCAUUAGAGAAACACAAAGGAACACACGAUCACCAACUCUAAAUCUCUAGGCAAGGAGUCUACGGUCCGCAUAGGCCUUCUGCCUACUUUAUGUAGCUCUCAGCCUAUUCUGAAUCAUCCUGACUUUAUUUAAUGAGUCCUGAAGCAAAUCCAUAUCGCAGGGUCUCACCUUAGAAGUCUUGAACCACCCUAUUGGAGGACAAUAUCUCCUACUAUACAAGGUAUCAUAGGGCUCCAUCUCAAUACUCGAAUGAUAGUUGUUGUUAUAUGCGAACUCUGCCAAUGCAAAGUGUUGAUCCCACUAUCCUUUAAAAUCCAUAACACAGGCUCGAAGCAUAUCCAUAAAUAUCUAAAUAGUCCACUCGAACUGGCCAUCUAUCUAUGGAUAAAAAGCUUUACUCAAAUCAACUAAAGUACCCAACUCCUCCCAAAAUGCUUUCCAAAUAUCGUGAAGUAAAUACAAAACCACAGUGUGAUAUGAAAGAAAUAGGCACCUCAUGCAAACAAACUAUCUCCGGAACAUAAAUUUAGGCUAAUCUCUCAGCAUUGAAGGUCAUCUAAAUAGGAAUGAAAUAUUCUGACUUUGUCAAACGAUCCAUAAUAACCCAAAUACUGUCAUAACUAUAGGAAGUAAGGGGUAAACCACUAAUAAAGUCUAUAGUAAUCCUUUCCCACUUCCACUCGAGAAUUGGAAUUCUCUAAGUCAAUCCACAUGGACGUUAAUGCUCGUUUUUCACCUACUGGCAACAUAGGCAAUGAGCCAUGAAUCGUGCCAUAUCUUUCUUCAUCCAAUCCCACUAGUAAUGCUACCUUAAAUCACUGUACAUCUUGGUUAUACCAGGAUGAAUAGAAUAUCUAGAACUACAAGCUUCAUGAUGAAUCAACUAAAUCAAGUCAUAAGUCAGGGAACACAAAUAUGAUCCUAAAACCUCAAAAUGUUAUCAACAUCAACAAUGUGUCUCUAAGACUCACCACUCACCACCUGAUUACAAAGGAAGCACAAUUUUCUAUCCUUAUACUGACGAUCACGAAUAUGCUUAAAUAAGGACAACAAACCACCACACAAGCGAAAAUCCUAGAUGGAUCUAAAGUAUCAAGGAGAACCAUUAAAUUGGCUAAGGACUGAAUAUCCUAUGACAUAGACCUCUAAGAAAAUGAUAUACAAGCCAAGCUACUCGUACUCACUGCUUUGCAACCCUAGGCAUCAACUGUCAUAUUUGCCAUACUCGGAUGUUACAAGAUGGAAGUAUCAUAGUCCUUCAACAACUCCAUCGAUCUGCACUGGCAAGCAUUAAGCUCUCAUUGGGUCAAAAGAUGCCGAAGGCUACAAUAAUUGGAGAAGAUAUCACAAUACACACCAUACAAAUAAUUCCUCCAAAUCUUAAGCGUAAAAACUAUCGAUGCCAACUCCAAAUCAUGAGUUAGGUAGUUGUGAUCAUGUACCUUAAGUUGUCUAGAAGAAUAAGCAAUAACACAACCUUGUUGCAUCAAAACACAACCAAGACCGACACCAGAAGAAUCACAAAUCAUGGUGAAUCCCUCACUCUAAACUAGAAGAGAUAACACUAGAGCUGAAGUAAAACAAUUCUUGAGCUUCCUAAAGCUUAACUCACACUUCUCGGACCAGCGGAAAGGAACUUCCUUCUAAGUCAAUCAAUUCAUAGGGGCUGAAAUAUAGCAAAGCUAUUAACAAAAUACCUAUAAUAACCAACCAAACAAAUUAAAAUAUGAACCUCAAUUGAAGAUGUAGGUCUAUCCCAAUCACGAAUCACUGAGAUCUUAGUCAGGUCUACCAUAAUACCCAUUUUGGACACCACAUGUCUAAGAAAUGACACUGACUCAAGCGAAAAAUCACACAUAGAGAACUUGACAAAAAGCACAUGAUCUCUUAGAGUCUGGAGCAUGACCCUCAAAUAUUAUGCUUGCUCCUCACUACUCCUCGAAUAAUAAGAAUGUCAUCAAUGAACACAAUAAUAAAGGAGUCUAGGUAGGGUCUGAACACAUGGCUCAUAAAAUCCAUAAACACAGCUGGGGCAUUAGUCAACCCAAAAUACAUCACCAAAUACUCAUAAUAACUAUAAUGGGUCCUGAAGGCUGUCUUCGGGAUAUUCUCAGCUCGAAUCCUCAACCGAUGAUAACCUGAUCUCAAAUCUAUAUUAGAAAACAUGGUUGUGCCCUGAAGCAGGUCGAACGAAUACAAUCAUUAGCACAUAAAUUAAAAGAACUUACCAAGUCCAACAAAAUUACCAAGUUCAACAUGCAUACAAUUAUUAGGGCAUAAAGUAAAAGAACUUACCAUGGCGUACCAUUCCAUCGUGAAGUACACCCAAAGAACAUAAAGUAAUGAAUUCAUCACGGUGUCCCAUACCAUCAAAGAGUAAACUGAUAUAAUUCAUCAUCAUAUCAAUAUUUAUAUACAAAACCAACUGAUAUUUACCCAUGGUUUCCAUAUUUCCCUUCAUGGUCACAUGCCAAGAUCCAUAAUUAUCCUCAAAAACUGCAAAUCAAACAAAUGCAUACUGAAGUAAUCAUAACCAUAGUUAUAUAAAUAUUUAGACCUCUUACUCAUUAAUAUACUCUAUCUAGUCUAUAUUAACUAACCACCAUUUAUUAUUAAGAUACUAGUUCGCUAGUCAUCAUAAGGCCUCUAACCAUUAGUCCAAUCGAUUCCUCAUAUACUAUUUCUUCAUGGCGUAGCAACUAAUUAUGAUUCAUUAGAUAUCCAACAUCCAUAUCUAAACAAGAUGCAUCACAAAACCAUAAUCACUAUUUAACAACUUCAUUCCUAGUUAUCAUAGGAACACUAGUCACCAAGAUAGUGAGAAGCUACAUAUUACCAACACAUUUCUCUAUCUAUAAACCAACACCUUUUAUAGUUAGUACCAAAAUUAUCUAAGCCCUUAUUUAAGCAACCAACAACAUUACAUGCUAGAUAUCAAUAUCACUAAUCAUGCACAAUAUAAAGUGUAUUAUCAUCAUUAGUUAUUUUACAACCAUAAUUACUAGUUACCACAUUUUUAACUAAACAAGGUCUACCAACUAGUAUUGUAGGAUUCUAGCCAUCAAGUAAUAUAACCACUUUAUAAAGACAACUAAUUUUCACAUGACCCAUUUCACUAUGCGAAAUCUCAUAACAUAACCAUUUAUUCAAGACAAAUAUAUCCACUAGGUAAUUAUUUAAUUCUACACAUGAUUACAAUUACCAAAUAGUCUUAACUCAAUAUUCGACAUAUUUUACUUCUAUUCACAAAUUAGUACUAACAAGAGUUAAGCCACUUAACUAGUGAUUAACGAUAGAGAAUUAUAAACAAAAUUCCAAGAAAAACAUAAUAUCCUAAUUGCACAUACAAACUUAAUUAUACAAAGGCAUAACCACACACAUACGUAUAUAUUCAUAUAUGUUUAUCAUACAUACAUCAGUAUAAUAUCAAUAUAUCCUUCUGGUUUAUCGGUAAUCAUCAUAAAAUCAAUACCUCUUUUGUAUUUAUCAUCAAUUAUCACAUCAUCAACAUAUUCUCUGGAUUCACCAGUAUUAUCACAUCAUCAAUAUAUCUUUCAAAUUCACCGAGCAUUAUCACAUAAUCAAUAUAUCCUCCAAAUUCAUCGAGCAUCAUCAAUAUAUCCUUCAUAUUCAUCGGGCAUCAUCAUACCACUAAUAGUCAUCAUGAUAACAUUAAAUACAUACAUAUAUAGUCAAAUUGAUAACAAGUACAAGCCCACAACCAAUAGUUUAAGAGAGGUAAAGAAAUAUAUAUCAUGGUACUUUACCAUUAAUUAUCACCAUAUUAUAUGGGUAGAUGUAUGUGUAUGUAUAUUUAUAUGAUAUGAACAAACACCAGUUUUUUGAGCUUGACAUAAUUAGUAGCAAGUCAAUUAUAAGUCAUGGGUAUGCUUUCUAGAAUCCUUCUUUGCUCACAUGGUUCACAAUACUAGUGUAAGAAGGUCUUUUCAAAUAAACAUUAGUUUAGUAAUUAAGCCAAAAUCAUAAUAUGAGUUGUGAAAUAGUCCAAGGUUUAUAUAGUGAACUAGCUAAUAAGUUAAGUGAUAGCAUAACCACUAUUUCAAUUCACAAGACAUUCCAAUGCUAUCCAUAUCAUGAAAAUAAGAUAAUCAAUCAAGUAUACACAUUAUUCAAAAAUUGACAACAUUAAUAAACCAUUUACUGGUUUCCACCAUCAUAUUAUUAAAAACAAAAUCUAGGUGUUCAUCAUGUAUUUACUUCACUAAUGAAGUUAUACAGUUCAAGCUUAAGACGGGUCAAGUUCUAAUUAUAAUAAUCCCCAAGUUCUCUUCUAUAAGUCUAACUUUUACUCAUAUUUAGGCUAAUUUAUCUAAAUCAUGCCUUAAGGUCUACCAAUCCACACUAGUUCUAUAGGACAAUUUUUCUUUAAGUAUUUCUCCUAAGUAACCCCAAGCAUCCAAAGUUAUUCCACCGCUAAGCAUAUCUAGGUCAACAUACUUUUAAGGUGAGUGAACAAGGUCACUAUCAUCUACUAGAGCAACUAGAUAAUUUUUAUGCUCUUUAUGAGAUAACAAGUCCAACUAACCAAGGUUCUAGGCUACAAGUCAACUAUCUCACUUAAUGUGUUUCAAGACCUAAGUGAUCCAACUAGUCCCAAACAUUUCCAUAUACCAAUUCAAUAUCUAAGACCCCACCCAAUCUUAUCAAGAUAUCACAAUUAUACUAAAAUAAAGCUCAAUCUAACACAAGUAAUACUAACCUACCUUGAGUCAAAAUAGCUCACAAAUCAAUAAUCAUUUCUUUCCCUUUCCUCUAAGCUUCUUCCAUAAGCCAAGCGAUCAGCAACAUAAUAUAUGCAUUAUUAUAAGAAUAACAACACCCAUAUUGCACCAUUAUGUUUUGGGUCAAAAAUGGCAUCGAAAACCCCCAAGUGGGUCCUGCAUACAAAAAUGAAUUUCUGAGACCAACCUAUUGUUCAUAUACAGUUUGGGGCUAAAAAUCAAGCCUCAAGCCAUUUGAGGUUUUGGGUCUAAUAAUCAAUAAAUCAUUAACAAAAUUAAAGGAAUCUUACCUUAAAUUUGAUUUUAAUCACAAAUAUGCAAGUUGGUUAAGCUCCCAAUCAACACCUAAUGCACACUUUGUAGACUACUCUCUUCAUUACAGUUUUAGAGGCUCAAGACAAUGAAGAAGUGACCAAAUUUUGACUAAAAGAGGAUUUUAUAUGGACCAUUAUAGGACUCAAGAGUAGUAAUUGUGCACCUCUGGUAGACCGCGAUCGUGACCAUCAUGAUCGCACCUUACCUCGUGCAAUCGCUGCACCUUGGUGUACUACAUAAUGGCUGAAAAUUGAAAUUUGACUCCAAGUUUUGGCUAAGGUCUUGGGAUGCAUUUGGAAUCCAAUAUGAGCAAGCAAGAUAUGCAACUUUAUAGAUUUUGAUGUUUUGGAUGCCUUGGUGAAGUCGUAUUUUACAUCUAAUAUUAUUUUUAUAAUAUUUUUGCUUGGUGGCCAUUUGGAACCAAUGAAGACUUCAAAAUGGGGAAUUGAUUCUAACAACCAAACAAACUACUAGGUAACUGAACUAUUAAUUCCAACAAGUCAUAAAUGACUUGGGACAGUUAUGGGAAAGCUCUAUUGGUGAAAAUGAGUAGGAAUAUAGAAAAUGACCUAAAGAGUCAUCACAAUUGGUUGCAUGGGGUAAUAGUAAAUAUGAAUACUUGAUUUUUCUUGAGAAGCUAUUGAACAUCCUAAAUGAUUUAUCACAAAUGUUGUUGAACAAUGUAAUCAGUAUAUUUUAUAGGUAAAUGUAGUUUAAAAUCUAUUUUUAUUUAUGUGUUCAUAUUAAUUAUUUCUUCAUAUACCUAUUAGAAUGCAUGUUUUAAGAAGAGUAAGUUUUUAAUUACAUCCUAAGUGUUAAUCAUAUAUAAUAAGGUUAUAUUAAAGGUUUGUUGGUUGUAUAAGUGUGUUUGUAUUAUUCCUUUUAUAUUUGUAGCUAUUGUGAUAGCUGUAGUUAUUAUAAAAUGAGCAAUUAAAGGACAUAGACAAAGAAUUUAUUAUUAUUGUGCGAUUAGUAGGUAAAGGACCUCAUCAUAGAAUUUAUUAUUAUUAUAAGAUAAGUCAGUAAAGGACUUUAUAAUGGGUUUUAUUAUUAUUGUGAGAUGACUUGUUAAAGAAUAUCAUCAUGUAAUUGGUUUGAGAUAAGGAUUGAAAACACUAGAUAUCUAAUUAUUGGGGUACAUAAACUAAGCUUGUCUCAUGUAGGUCAUGGCUAGUGGGUGAUCAUAAGACCCGUAGCAUGUGUGUAUAAGUAUCGGUGAGUUUUAUAAUUUCUUGAGUGGACUGGGUUUUGUGUUGAUUUACUUAUAUUUGGUUCCUUGAGUAGACUAGGUUUGUUUGUUGACUUAAUUUAUAUUUGGUUCCUUGAGUGGACUAGUAGAUAGCAUUGGUGUUACAUUAGAUCCUUGUGUGUCCUGAGCUAUUGGCAUAAUUGGAAGGUAUAUGUAACGUCCCUUUUUGUCUUUUUGGGUAAUUCAAUCAUACAACAAUUAGGGUUAAGAUUUUCCCUGAAUUGGGAGUUAGAAAUUUAAGUUAGGCUAGGUUUAGAUAAAAUCUGAGCUGAAGUAUGGUCUAGGGAAAUUCAGAAAUGAAUUGGGUAAAAAUGGUUAGGUUUAGAUUAGUUGUAUGAUAGUUAACUCAUUAGGGAAUCUGUAGAAUUUUGUAGAAGUGAAUUCAAGUGAGUUGAACUCCCAAUAUUAAACUUGAUGUAAUGAGACUAGUCUAGAAUAUCAUGGUUUGACAUUCUGUUGUAAAAAAGGCAAAAUUAGAAGGAUUUUUGAGUUUUUGUCUUGCUACUCCCGCUUAGUGGGUGAUAUGUCGCUAUAGUGACUCCAUAUAUAGAAGAAAAAUUUUUGCUAUAGCAAAAGUCAGUACUAGUCAAUCCCACUAUAGUGGGUGAUGCCACUAUAGUGGGAUUAGAUUACUAUAGUGGGUUAAAUCGCUAAAAUGCAAAAAUUUCCCCAAAAUGCUUUAUAAUCUUAAACAUAUUUUGGGGAAGGUCAUAGGAAUUUGGGAAACUUUCCUCAGUCUUUUGUCAAUUUUCUUCAUAAAGGUAAGUAUUCCAUCUCCAUUAACUAGUUUUGACUUAAUUAACCUUCAAAUUCCUAGUUUAUAGAUUUUGGAGAGGGUUUAAGCUUAUAUUCAGUUUUUCUGGUGAAAGAGGGUAAAUUAAUUGUCAAACCAUUGGGCUUCAGUUGUUAAUCAUUAAUUUACUCUUGAAUAUCCUUAAUUUUCUAGUGUAACCAUGAUAUUGGUAGUCCUAAGGUAAACUAAUAGAGGGAAAACCCUAGAAUGGGUGGUGUGAUCAUGAAUUUUUUGUAGGGGUUUCAAAUUCGAUUAUAAUUCUUGUCAUUGUAGGUCAUUGGUUGAUUGUGUACUUUACUCAUAUUUUUAGAUAACAACUAAGUGGAAAUUACACGAAAAGGUAACAGUCAAGUUUAAUAGAGUGGUCCAAGCUUGGAUUGAGGUUGGUGAUGAUUUUAAUAUAGUUAAAACACAAUUUGUGUAAUAUGUGCAUGAUAAAAAUUCUUGGUAUUUUUUGUACAAUGCAUGUUCAAGGAAAGUCAAUGAUCAUUUGAUAUCCUAAGUAUUAAUCCCAUACAAUGAACUUACAUAAAAUUUUGUUGGUUUUUACAAGUGUUGUUUGAUCAGCAUUGUGAUUACAAUUAUUAUGAUAUUUAUCAUUAUUAAAUGUACCAGUGUUUAGACAUCUCCACGAGUUUAGUUGAUAUAAGGUUGACCGAUACUUGAUGUCUAGGAUUUAGUAUAUGGACAAGAGCUCGUGUUCUAUAGGUCAUGACUUAUGGGGUACAAAUAUAAGACCCUUAGGAUGUGUGUACAAGGUGUAGGUGAGUGUGACAGUCCUUAAGUAAACUAAGGAUUAUGUGAUUUUUUUUAUUAUAUUGGUUCUUUGAGUGAAUUGGGCUUACGUAUUUCAUUAUAUGUUGGUUUCUUAAAUGAACUGGGUUUAUGUGCUUAAUUGUUAAAGGUAGUUUCUUUAUAUAAAUAAAAAUGCAUAAUAUUUAUCAUUGUUAUUGUUCUUGUGGAUCCUUGUAUGGUUUGGGUUAAUUGCAAAUUAUGAUGUAACUUUGUGUUGUCUAUUACGUAUGUAAAUUGGGAUAUGAAUUAUUUCAAAGUUGUGUCAUGGGUGCUGACUUGGAGUAUUAUUGAUAGUCUUGUUUGACUUGACUUGUUAUCCUUGUUGACUUAUAUGAACUAUACUUCAGGUGGUAGUUUUUACGAGGCUAAAUGUUAUGAACUUGAAAUAGAGUUGCAUGAUAGGGUUCACGGUUUUCUUGUUGUACUACAUUUUGGUUAUGUGCCCAUAUUUAUUUUUAUGGAUUGGUUGAUGGCCCUAUUGGCACACCGUUAUUUCUUGUGUGUUGAUACUACAUGUGCUCUUUUUUUUAUUGAGUGCAGACCAUUUACUAGUGACUAUUUGGAGACCUCAGUUGUGAUUUAGACCGUAUCCAAAUUCAAGGGUGAGUUGCAUCUUACAGGCUAUAAUGGGUUCAUCUACUAUUUUGUCGUCUAUUUGUUUUGGAAUCAGACACUACAUUGGUUAGUUGGUUUACACCCCCAAUUUUUUAGAUUUAUUAGAGGUUUGGUAUAAUGAAUUUCAGGUCUUAGGGGAUGGUUUUCCACAUUUAUUAUAUUUCUCUUGUUAUGUUAUGGUAUUGGAUAUUGAUUUUAUUCAGUGAAAUUGGUUUAGUUGCCUAGUUUUGGCUAAGUGUUGGAUUGAUUGGUUGGGUUAAUUGGUUCUCCCACUGGAUAUUUAGAGUGGGUUCCACUCAUGAUAGGUUUGGGUUAUGACAAAGUUGGUAUCAGAGCCUUAGAUAUAGAGCCCUAAAUUUGUUGACCUUAUUGUACAAAAAUAGGUCCAGUAGAAUCUUGCAGAAUAGUACGAAGAUGCUUGUACUUUUUUUUGAUAAGUUAUAGAACCUUAGAAAACUAUCUAUUCUUUCUUAUUUUGUGCUAUAACUUGACUCCAAUUGGUAUCUAACCUUCUUUAUUUUUUCCAUUGAUGGUGAAUACUAGAUCAAAUGGAAUACGUGUAGAAGCCUACGCACCAGUAGCUCCAACUGCUGGUUGUUUGGGGAUGAGGAUGAGGUAGGUGCAAGGGAACGAGAAAACAGAGAGCAACACCUGCCAGAUAUAGAGAUCAGGCAUCAGUUGACCAAGCUUAUCAGAGGUCUAUAUUACCUCCCCUACCCCGGGAUCAUUUUAAGGAGGCUAAGGCAGGGGUCGGGGAUAAUAUGGAAUUAGAGUUGGUGCCAUUGGUUGGAGGUUCAGUCCUUUCUCUGAUAUCUGCUAAGGUUGGUCAGCAAGUUCUAUUUUUUCUAAGUGGAUUAGCGGGUAUUGGAGCCACUCCCAUUGUACCAACUUUUCAAGUUUUUGCUGUUUAUCCCACUUUUACUUUAGCUACCAAAAUAGAUGACUCUUUGGGGACUAAUGUAUUCCCUUGUCCUUUCUUAGGACUCAUCAUGACUGGUACCAAACAUGAGUUGCUAACUAAGUUUUUAAAAAUUAAACCUCCUUAAUUUUAUGGUGCUGAGACUGAGGAUUCUUUUGAAUUCAUCAUUGAUCAUUAUGGGAGGCUUUAAAAAUUAAGGAUUGUCCAAUAGCAUGUUAUUGAGUUUGAGACUUUCCAACUAGAAGGAGAUCCCAAGUAGUAGUGGAGAGCUUGUGUAGAGUCUCAGUUGCUGAUAUUACCUCCAUUGAAUUAGGCCUAGUUUUAUGCCCUAAUUUUGGAAAAGUAUGUGUCCGAACCCUUCAUGACUACUAGAAAUAUGUCUUUUUGGAUCUUGAGAAGGAAAGUAUGUUAGUUGCAACUUAUGAGGCUAAGUUCCAUGCUUUGUCUCGCUAUGCUACUUAAUUGUUGGGCAUUGAGGAGAAGAGGAUUCAGUUAUUUAUUAGGGGCUUAGACAUUAAUCUAUAGGUAUUGCAUGUUCACAAGACUUCUGUAUGAAAGAGUUUCAAUGAUAUGGUUGAUUAUGUGAAGAAGCUUGAGGGACUCAAGAAGGUAGGUCAAGAUAAUGCAUUAGCCAAGAUUUCUAAGAAUGCGGAUAACUUUUGUGGUUUUAAUUCUAGGGAUCACAACCAUAAGUCUCAUCUAUAUCUCCCCAUUCAGUCAGUAUUGCCAACCUUUAUAGGUGGUUCUUCAAAGGUUAUUCAUCAACCCUCAAUUGCUAAAGGCUAAGGGGAUUCUUAUUUUUUAACCAAUAGUCCUUCUCUUGAGCGAGGUGUUAUUAUUGUGAUAUUAUAGGAAACUUCAAUAGAGAGUAUCCUUUAAGGAAGUAAUUGGUAAUUAGGCACAACAGAAGAAUGAGGUUGUAGUUCCAAAAGGUAGAGGUAGAGAUAGUAACGGUAAGGGUCAUCCAUAGGGUGAACGAGGUAAAAAUUAUGGAGUUUAUCAUGGAAACAAAGGUAGUGGCAAUGUAGGAAAGGGUGGAGCACAGCUAGUGAGAGAGGUUUCCUAGCUUAAAGAUGGAUCUCACUAUUAUGCCUUCCCAGGUAAGACCAAAGUCGAGGCAUCGAACGUUAUUAUUGUAGGCACUCUUCUUGUCUAUGACCUGAUGGUUUUUAUUUUAUUUGAUAAAGGUUCCACUUAUUCUUAUGUAUUUGUUAGAUUUGUUUUAGGACUAGAUUUGAAUUUUGAUGUACUCGAAUCUCCUAUGUAUGUUUGUUGGAGAUUUUGUGGUGGCGACCCAUGUAUAUCGUGCAUGUUCUAUAUUGUUUAUGGGUUUGCAGACCUGGGUAGACUUGAUCCUUUUGGACAUGCUUGAUUUUGACAUUAUUUUGGGUAUGACUUGGUUAUCUCCCUAUCGUGCAGUCUUGAAUUAUAAUGCUAAUACAAUGAAUCUAGAAAUACUUGAGAGGGAUAAGCUAGAGUAGGAGGGAGAUUAUAAGUUUAAGAUAGUGAAAAUCAUAUCUUUUGUCCAGGCUAGAAAGCUAGUCAGGAAGGUGUGCUCAGCUUUCUUGUCCCAUCUUUGGGAUGUUAUUCAAAAUCUCCUUCUAUUGAGUCUGUUCUUAUGGUUUCUAAUUUUCAGGAGGUAUUUUUUUAUGCAUUCGUCUGGUAUGCCUCCAGACAGGGAUAUUCUUUUUGUAUUGAUUUGGAGCCAGGCACUUGGCUAAAUUCUAUUCCUCCUUAUUGCGUCACUCCAACAAAGUUAAGGGAACUCAAAACUCAGUUAUUGGAAUUCUUAAUAAGGGAUUCAUUCAUCCAGUGCUUCACCUUGCGGUUCUCUAGUGUUCUUCGAUAAUUUUAAGAUGGUAGUAUGCAGAUGUGAAUUGAUUAUAAAUAAUUAAAUAAGGUUACCAUCAGGAAUAAGUAUCCCUUGCCCUGUAUUGACGAUCUCUUUGACUAGUUAUAGGGUGUUUUAGUAUUCUCCAUGAUUGGCUUGAGGUCGGGUUACCAUCAACUGAAAUUCAACCUAAGAAUAUACCCAAUAAAGCUUUUAGGACUCGAUAUGCAUAUUAUGAGUUCUUAUGGAUGUUUUUUGGGUUGACGAUUUUGUCAGCCCUUCAUGAGAUUGAUGAAGGGUAUUUUCAAGUCCUUUUUUAUUUUUUGUGAUAGUUUUCAUUGAUGAAUAUUGAUUUACUCCAAGAGCAAGGAGGAACAUGCAUGUCAUUCUCACAUUGUCUUGGGAAUUUUUAAGAAGAAGCAAUUAUAUGCAAAGUUCUCAAAAUACAAGUUUUGGUUAUCUGUUCUUACCUUCUUAGGACAUAUGGAUUUAGUAAAAGGGGUGAUGGUAUAUCCCCAAAAAAUUGAGGCAGUUAAGAAUUAGGUUUGGCCUAGUUCUAUGACUAAGGUUAGAAGUUUCGUAGGUCUUGAUAGUUAUUAUCAUAGAUUUGUCAAGAAUUUUACCUUUAUUGCUACUCACUUGAAAAGGUUGACUCAGAAGAGAAUGCCAUUUGUAUGGUUGGAUAAGUGUUAGGAGUGAUCCCAAAAGCUCAAGACAUUUUUUACUACAACUUCUAUUCGUAGAUAAAGGUAAGGAUUUUAUUGUAUUUUGUGAUGCUUUAUACUUGGGUUUGGGUGUUAUAUUGAUGCAGGCUAUGAACAUUAUUACUUAUGCUUCAUCCAGUUGAAGCCUCAUGAAAAUAAUUAUCCAACUCAUGACUUGGAGUUAGAAUCAAUGGUGCUUGUAUUUAAGAUUUAGAGACACUACCUUUAUGGUGUCAAGUGUGAGGUAUACAUAGACCAUCGUAGCCUGCAGUAUGUGUUCACCAAAAAGGAUUUGAACUGGAGAUAGAGGCGAUAGAGGGAAUUGUUUAUAGACUAUGAUAUAACUAUCUAGUAUCAUCUGGGCAAGGUUAAUGUGGUGGAAGAUGGAUUGAGAAAAAAACAAUAAGUAUGGGCAGCUUGACCUUUUUGAGGGUGUCAAGGAAACCCUUGGCUAGGAGUUUCAAGUUAUAGAAUUUCGGUUCUUGUAGUAUGGUAUUUAAGAAAGGGAUGGGAUUUGGCUAAUAUUGAGGUAAAUUCAUCAUUCCUUGAUAAAAUAAAGGCCACACAGUUUGAAGAGGAGAAUUUGACUAGACUCUAGAACAAGGUGGUUUGCAAUGAGGCUUCAAACGCCACCCUUGAUAUGUGUGGAAUAUUUUGUUUUAUAUUAAAAAUAUGUGUUCCUCGGUUAGGUUAUUUGAUUCAGAAUAUGUGUGUUGAAGCUUAUGAUUUGCUAUAUUAUAUUCAUUCAAGUGCAACCAAGAUGUAGCGUGACUUGAGGCAACUUUAAUGGUGGGCUGUAAUGAUGAAGGACAUAGUGGAGCCUGUAUCCAAUGUCACAACUGCCAGCAGGUAAAGUACGAACAUCAAAGGGACAUUGUUGACUGAAACUUAAAGGAAAAAUUGCAUAACUUCUUGCCAGGAUAUCAGAUCGAGGGGAGACUUACAGCAUUGUAAAUCGAACUUAGUGGCCUAUCUUUUGAGGGGUGUGGAGCUUGAAAAUUCUGGGUAUUAUGAUAUCUCCCCCUUGGGAUCAUUUGUUCCCAAAUAAAACUAUCCGAAUUGGAAUACUAGGGAAUUUAGAUCAUCCACUAAACACUUAUGAGCUGAAUUAUGACUAAAUAUCUAGAUCAAAAACAUAAUGCAUGGAUUGAACUAAAAUCAUGAAUGCAUACUAUGACAUGAGGAUGGACGGAUAGCUGAGAAAGAAAGUGAGAGAACUGAUUAACAAAGAAAACCCUUACCUCAAGAUGAAUUUGGAUUCAAAGAGAAAAUAUAGGGGUACUUGGCUUGCAUAUCAGCUUCUGCUUCCCAAGUAACUCCCUCAACUAACUGAUUUCUCUACAGAACUUUCACUAAAGAAAUAUCUUUAUUCCUCAACCUACGAAUUUGGCGGUCAAGGAUCUUAACUAGGACUUCUUCAUAUGAGAGGCUAUCUUCCAUGCCCACACUUUUUAAAGGAAGGACUGAAGCUGGAUCACAAUGUAUUUCUUUAGCAAAGAGAGAUGGAAUACUGGAUGCACUGAUGCUAACUCUGUAGGCAACUCUAACUCAUAGUCUACCUAUCCAAAAUGACUCAAAAUCCUAUAUGGGACAACAUGGUGGGGACUGAGCUUCCAUUUUUUACGAAAUCUCUUCACCCCUUUCAUGGGAGAAAUUUACAAAUACACUAAGUCGCCAAUAUCAAACUCAACCUCCCUCCUCCUGAUGUCUGCAUAGGAUUUCUAUCGACUCUGGGUUGUUUUAGCCUUUCUCAAAUCAACUAAACUUUCUCCAUCACCUCAUACACUAAGUUUAGACCUAAUAAAGCAGCUUCGCCAACCUCAAACCAACCAAUAGGAGAUCUACACCUCCUACCAUAAAGUGCCUCAAAUGGAGCUAUCUGAAUAUUAGAGUAGUAGCUGUUAUUGUAGGAAAACUCAAUCAAAUGCAGGUGAUCAUCCCAAAUACCCAUGAAAUUGAUAACACAAGCCCUCAACAUGUCCUCUAAGGUCUUAAUGGUCCUCUUUGCUUGACCAUCUAUCUGGGGGUGAAAAGUCGUACUGAGAUGAACUUGGGUACCAAGACCUUUCUGAAAAGCCUUCCAAAAAUAAUAGGUAUACUAAGUACCUCUAUCUAAAUUGAUGGUCAAUGGGACUCCAUGUAACUUUACCAACUCUUUAAGAUAGAGCUAGGCACAACCCUUGGGAAAAUAUGAAAUAUGGGUUGGCAAGAAAUAGACUGACUUGGUUAUUCUAUCCAUAAUGACCCAAAUAAAAUCAUGUUGACGACACAUAUGAGGUUCCCCUAUGACAAAGUCCAUAUUUACCACUUCCCACUUCCAAGUGGGGAUGUUAAAUUCCUGAGGAAUACCACUAGGCCUCUGGUGAUCAACCUUAACUUGCUGAUAAUUUAAAAACUUAGCCACGAAUUCCAUAAUAUCAUUCUUCAUACUAUUCCACCAAUAAACUUCCAAUAAAUCAUGGUACAUCUUAGUGGCUCCACUAUGAAUAGAAUACCGUGAACUAUGUCCCUCUGCUAACAUUUGCUGCCUCAAAUCACCCACAUCCGAAACACAUAAUCUACUCUGACAAUGAAGUAAAUCAUCUUCCCCUUCGGAAAAAACCUCAACCUUCUAAUCCCGAACUGCCUCUUUCAACUUAACCAAAAUAGGAUCUUCGUUUUGCUUCUCUUUUACCUUGGAAACCAAGGAAGAUUCCAAACCAUUUUGAACACAUACACUACCUUCAGCUGAAUCAACCAACCAAAAACCCAAUCUAGCAAGAUGAUGAACCUCACAGACUAACUCUUUCUUAUUAUCCUCCACGGAGUAACACUCUCCAUAAACAAUUUACUAAGGGCACUUCUAUAAUAUUCGCCUUACACAGGUGAUACAAUACACUUAUAUCAUAGUCUUUUAGUAAUUCUAUCCACCUUGUUUGAUAAAUAUUUAGGUCAUUAUAAGUGAACACAUAUUGUGAACGCUUUUGACUAGUAAACACAUAACAUGAACCCCAUAAAGGUAACGCCUCCAAAUCUGUAAGGCAAAAACAAUUGUUGCCUACACAAGAUUGUGAGUCUGGUAGUUCUUCUCAUGAGGUUUAAGCUGUCCAGAGGCAUAGGCUAUAACCUUACGCAUUACAUCAACAUACAACCUAGAUCAACUCUAAAAGCAUCACAGUACACUACAAAACCAUCUAAGUUCUCUAGAAGGGUCAACGUUAGAGAAAAAGUGAGUUAAGUCUUCAACUGCUGAAAACUCUUCUCGCAGGAAUUGGACCACUAAAAUUGGAAUUUCUUCUGAUUCAAUCUAGACAUAGGAGAAUAAAUAGAGUAAAAUCCCUCAACAAACCAUUUGUAGUAACCAGAUAAACUCAAGAAACUCCUAAUAUCUGAUGGAGGGGUGGGUUUAGUCCAAUUUAGUACUGCUUUAGUUUUUUUAGGAUCAAAUCAAAUGUGAUCAACAGCAAUGAUGUGACCAAGGAAGGCUAUUGAUUUCAACUAGAAUUCACACUUGCUGAACUUAGUGAAUAACUGGUGUUCUUUAUGAGUUUACAAAAUAAUCCUUAAAUGGUUUGCAUGUUCAUUUUCACUACGAGAAUAGAUGAGAAUAAUAUCUAUGAAAACUAUGACAAACAUAUCCAAAUACUUCUUGAAUACUUUUUGCAUCAAGACAUAACCACAAAUUCAAAGUAACUAUACUGAGUUCUGGAGGUUGUUUUCGAAAUAUCACUUUUUUUAUUCUGCGAUGAUGAUAGACGUAUAUGAGAUCUAUCUUAGAGGAACAAGUAGCACCUUGAAGUAGGUCAAAAAAUUCAUCAAUCCUUGGGAGCGGAUACAUAUUCUUGAUUGUGACUUUGUUCAACUGAUGAUAGUUGAUGCACAUUCUGAGAAAACUAUAUUUUUUGUGCACAAAGAGAACUGGGGUACCCCAUGGGGAAUACUAGGACUGAUAAAGCCCUUAUCUAAGAUAUUUUUCAACUGUUCUUUAAAUUCCUUAAGCUUGGCUGGAGCCAUUGUGUUAGGUAGAAUUGAAAUAGGCUAGGUGUUUGAGAGGAGAUCUAUUCUAAAGCCGAUUUCCCCCACGGGAGGAACUCGGGGCAGAUCUUCAGGAAAUACCUUUGGAAAAUAAUUAACUACUGGAAAUAAUUCAAGACUUGAAAUCUCAUAUUUGAGUUCUUUAUUUGGACAAGAUGAUAUAUGAAACCCUAAGAUCUCAUCUUCCUUGCCUUAAUGUAGGAGAUGAAUCUACCUCUAUGCAUGGAGGUACUAACCUUUUAUUCUUUGACUAGUUUGUUAGGAAACUUGAAUUGGACUAUUUUAUUUCUAUGGUCAACUGAUCCAUAAUAAGAGUGGAGACAAUCCAUGCCAAGAAUGACAUCAAAAUUGGUCAUCUCUAAUUUUAUAAGAUCAACUGAGGUAACUUUCUGGGACACUGUGACUGGAUAGUUUUUGUACACCCAUUUACCUAUGAUGCAACUACCUACAAAAAUGAACAUUGUAAAGGGUUCUGCAAGAAUUUCAAGGUUGGCGCUAAAGUUUAUGACUAUAUAAAGAGUCACGAAGGAUAGUGUGGCUGUAGGAUCUAAUAAUGCAUACACAUAAAGGUGAAAGACUUUUAACAUACCAAUAACCAUAUCAGGAGAACUUUCCUGAUCCUGUCGAGUCUAAAGGGCAUGGAGGCAAUUCUAAUGUUGUCCACUAGUGGCACUAGAAGUGGCACCUUGCUGACUUAGGUAUCCUGCUGGGACUACAGAAGAGUUAGUUGGGCCCUGUUAAUAAUUAUUUCUUUCUUGUUGGGCUACUGCAGGACAUUUCCUUUUUUGAUGGCCUGACUUGCCACACCUAAAACACACAUCAUUGCCUACCAAGUACUCACCCUUGUGGUUCUUACCAUAUUUUUUCCAAACUCGGUUAGUGUGACCUCUAUUCACAAUACCCUAGUAUUUGGAGCUUGUUGCUCUAGCUUGAUUAUCCUAUCUUAACUUAGGAAUUAGAGAACUGGUAAAAGAUAGGGCUAAAGCUGAGGAUUUUUGGUAAAACUAAGGAUGAUUACCACCUUAUGACCUCUACUGAGAGAAGUUAAAACUACCAGUGCUGUCCCUCUUAUUCUCUUUUCCCUUUCUUUCUUUGAGCUUCUCCUCCCCAGUUUGCUGAGCAUGAACCAUUAAUUUAUAAAGGUCCAUUUCCUUAAUCAACAUAGUUAUCCUACACUCCUUGACAAUAACUUCUGAAACUCCAGAUAUGAACUUACUCAUCCUAGCCCUAGAAUCAGCCACCAUAGUCAGAGCAUAUUUUGCUAACUUGGUGAACUUGAGUGAAUACUCCUUCACACUCAUGUUACCCUACUUCAAAUUAAUGAAUUUUUACACCUUGGCCUCCCUCAAUUUGAGUGGGAAGAACCAUCUAAGAAAGUAGUAGUAAACUCAUCCCACUUCAAAGGCCCUACAUCAGCUCCUCUAUUUUUAUUUCAUUACUUAGCCUAGGCAUAAGCCACCCCUUGAAAUUGGUAAGCAGCAAAAUUAACACUCUCACUCAAGGUAGUACCCAUAAUAUUAGUCGCCUUCUAUACAUAAUCCAAAAACUCCUAUAGGUCCUCCUUAGACUUGGAUCCAGAGAAUGAUGGGGAUUCAUCCAAGUAAGAUCUCUAAUUCUAGUUGAUGUCAUGUUCACCACAGAAUUGGAAGUGAAAAUGGCCUACUGAUUGUUUGGGGCAGCCACAAAUUGGGUUAAGUAGGUAAAAGCUGCCUUGAAUUUAGCAUGAGAGACCUGCUUAUUUUGAGGGUCUUCAAGAAUAAGUGGUCAUGUAGGCUAGUCCCUAUUUCUCCUCCCAUUAGCCCUUAUAAGAGGCAUUUUUAUAAAUGGUAGAGAAAGAGUUAGAAGAUGGAGUUUAACAGAACUCAUGCUCCAUUGCACGAAAUGAAUACUGGAAAAAGGAGACUUUCCUAAAAUAUUUCAUUGCCUCUCUCCCAUAAAUGUGGUGCUCUUUAUAUACAUGAACGAGACUUUAAUUAAUAUAGAUUUCAGACACCCUAGGAAUCUUUAAACCUUGUGUUCUAAAACCAAGUUUGUCACUACUCGAGACUACCCCUAGUCGUAAUAUGGUGCUUAAGGUUAUAAGUAACCCCAAGAUAACCUAUGAUCUGGCAUAAUCUAUAAUUAUAAAAAGGAAGGUAACAAAAUACUAUGAAAAAUUCAUUGAAAAGUGUCUAAUGAUCGAAACAAUAUCAAGUGUAACUGAAAUAUAUUCCUGGAAAACACAUCUAACUAACUGAUUGUCUAAAAACCUCUAAACAUGAUGAGUUGUUAGGAAAGGUCCCUAACUAACUUAGACUGACUAAAAUAGCAUGAAAUAAAAUACUGGGAUGAAUAACUAAUAUUAUAAAUAGUCCUUGAUUGAUGAGGACUCACCAAUAUUAUAGCUUAGUGGCACAAGAAUGGACUAUGCACGAUUUGGGAAUCGAGCAUACGAACCUAUGUUAUAAGACAACAUAGCGCAAAAAGAGUAAAGGAUAAAUACUUUAAAUAUAUUGGUAUGCGAUAUGGAAGCUAGCUACUAUACAUAUAUACCGAGCAUGAAUGCAUAAUCAUGAAAAAUUUAAUGCAAGAUCAAGUAUAAACAUGUACUGAAAUAAUCUGAAUAACUAGAUGACUGAGAUAGAACACUUGGUCAUGCAAACCAGAACUGAACAUAAUUUGAAUAACUAAACUAAGGACUGUGGGAGCUAACUACAACAGACGUACCCUAAUCUGAGCUAAUCGAGGUCCAACCUGUAACCUUAGUUGGAAAGGUGUCGAUAUCUUGUUAAGGCUACCAACAUUUACCAAUUUAGAUCCACUAAUUUGAUGACCCAAGGAAUAGGGUGUUAAGCCUAAACUAAUGGGUGACCCCUCAUAACUUAUACUGGCAACGUAGUUCUAGAACUUAGGGACUGCUACUAACAACUCUACCUAACUGAUGAGGGAGCCAUCAUCCUUGCGUUUACCCGGUGCUAAGUAUUACUCCCAACUAAAAGACUCUGAAGUUUAAAUAAAACAUAAAUUGAAUAAUGAUAUGCUCAAGUCAUGGCAUUCUAAAAUUAAUAUUGUAUACAUAACUAAAGGAAUCAUGAACUUGUAAAGUGAUGCAUAUUUAUUACCUUGGUAUUGGGUGCUUAUAACCCACCAGCAUAGAGUACUGCAAUUGAUCAUAAAAGUGGUAAAACUGACCAUAAUAAGGAAAAUCAUAAUUAAUAAUCGCAUUGUCAAUAACUAGUUUCUAUAUAGACAAUUAAGAUUAUCAAACAUAUGGAAACAUAGUUCUCAUGAGGGAACAUAUUUUCAUGGUACAUAACCCAACAUAACUUGGGGAGAGUUCAUAUAAUUCAUAUUUAACUUGAAACUCUAUAAAAAGGGAAAAGGUGUUUGUAUUUGUAAAUUUUGAGAAUUUUUUAGAGCUCAAUGGGUGAAAGGGGCCCAUUGAUGAAUAUCCUACAUACCUAAGAAUAAAUGCCUUGGUGAAAUCCUUGAAGAUGAUAUUGUUCUUGGGAAACCCUAGUUUUCUCUUGAGAAAGAAGAAAAUCACUUUUUUUUUGUUAGGAGAAGUGAUUUUUGAUAUUUUGAGGGAUUAGGGUAUUUUUUACCCUUGAUAAAUGACGUUUUGGGAGCUCAAAUGAUUAGGUUUGGGUUAAAAGGGGUGGAAAUUACCAAAAAUACCUUAUUAAAAAUAUGCAGGAAUUUUGUUCCUAGUCAUUAUGACUUACCUCACAACUCAUUAUGACUGGUCAUGAGUCAUGGUCUGAGCUAUAACCAGGAACUCUGAGGUCUAGAGUUCUUUUUUAUGAUUAUGACCUUCCUCCUACGACUCAUUACAACUGGCUACGAGUCGUAGUCUGAGACUUGAUUCUUGGAUCCUUUACUGGUUAGGCUAUGGGCCCACACAAUGACUUGUAAUGUUUGACUAUGAGUUUUGUGCUAUACUAGUAACCACUGGAAUGGAUUCUUGGUUAAAGAUGGUUAUGGCUAUGAGUUCCCUCCUAGCGACUCGUAAUGUCUGAUUACAAAUCAUGGAGUAGAGUUAUGGUCAUUGGGCUAAAACUUAAGGUUCUUUCAGUUAUGAGUAGGACUACUCAUAACAUUUGAUUAUGGGUUAUCACAUGAUUCGUAGACACUAGCAGCUGACUGACACUUAAAGGGAAAAUUGCAUAAACUUCUUACCACGAUAUCAGAUCGAAGCGAGACUUACAGCAUUGGAAACCCAACUUAGUGUCCUAUCUUUAAAGAGUUUAGAGAUUUAUAAUUUGGGAUAUUACAGGUAUAUUAAUCCAUUCCAGGUUCAUAAGGAUGCGAGUUUAGUAGCACAUAUAUUAGCAUUAUCGCCAAGCUUGUCGGUGGUCUAUCCAGUGUUUUAUGUAUCCAUGCCUAAGUGGUAUCAGAUGGAUUAAAAUUAUAUUAUUAAGUACAAUCUAAUUCUUUUAAAAAAGACCAUACUUAUAAGGAUGAGCCGAUUGUUGAUGAUAGGCGAAAUUACGCGCCUAUAUCAAUAUAUUUUGCCCAUAUUUUAGCCUAGUUUCGAGAACUAAUUAUCUAUUUCGUACACUUUUAGUCCUUUUUCCUGUAAAUGAGCUAACAAAUGUGAUUAGGAAAGUUUCAGGUAUAAAUGAUGCAAAAUACAGCAAUUUAUGGCUUACUUGACGCAAAAGAAAGCUCACAAACGAGAUGGAAAGGAGCUGGACGCAUAAAGGACUAAAUCUGCUGCAUGGAAAAUCUGUCCCGGGCUAAAACAGCAUUUCUGAAGACUUUGGGACUUACAGACACAAAGCUGGAUUUUUGCCAUAAUACAUUAACCUAGUGCAAUUAGGUUAUGUGUUUCAUCAUUCUAUUUGGAUUAUAAUUUUGUAACCUUACCCUAGUACAAUUGGGUCAAGGAUUUCAUUAGUAUAUUAGGAUUUGGUUAUUUAUUUUAUUAGUUUAGUAGGAGUAGGAUAGGAGUAUUAUAAAUACCCUAUCAUGUUAGAGAUUUUAAAAAGAGGAAAGAAAAGGGGGAGACAUUCUGACAAUUCAUUCAUCUCCUUACAAUUAAGACAUCUUCCUACAACCCAUUCUCAAUUCUUCAUUCUUCUACUCUUAAAUUCCACAACAAGAGAAUCGUUACUUGCUACGGAAUCACUAAAACCACACGCCAAACACCUACUAUUCACGCCAUCCACCAUGCAAAACGUGAUAUCCUUCGCAUUCAUGGGUAACUAAAUCUCUUAGUUGGGGUUAUGGAAGCCGAAUGAGUUACUAUCUAUAGCUAUGAGUUUGUGAGUUCAAGACAAGUAUAUUGCUUAUAUCAUUAUUCUCUUCAUCUUAAAUCUACAUUCUUUGCGGUUCAAACACAAGAACACGCCAUUCUAACAUCUAACCUGUUCGAGAGAAAGGUUAUUUGUCUAGAAAAGAAGACGCAUAGACCAACGCCAGUCUAACAUCUGACUUGUUCGAGAGAAAAGUUAUUUGUCUGGAAAAGAGAUAAUGUCAAGGUAGUAGGACACCCUUUCCUAUUAAAAAGCUAGUGCCGUACCUGGACUAACUUCUUGGAGAAUUCGUACCGUUAGUCACGCUUUAAGCUCGAGAGAGUUAAAGUGAAAUAGUCCUUGUUUAGGUCGAGAGACGCUUGGAUUUACCAUCGACUACAAUUCUCUAUAAGCAAUUACAUGUCAAGACUCUACACACUCAUAGCCAAUAGAGACGUAUACCUCAGAAGGUGGACAUAACCCCAACGCCUCAAUUCUCAUUGUUUACAACACACGUGACAAUCUCUCUUUAUUUUGCUAUUUUCAGUUCUUACAUUCUUGUUUUGGUUACAUACUACAAUCCCCCCUUUCCUACGAGACUUGCACUAAAAGUCUAGUAAUUUCUCUUGCUUGUUGGCCAAGCUAUUCUCUGUGGGAUCGAUACCCAACCCAGGUUGGGUUCUAUAUUUGCUAACGACCGCUUUACACUCCCACGAGAGCUGUAGAUUGAGCGUUAUCAAAAAUUGGCGCCGUUGCCGGGGAAUACGAGUGUCAAUCAAGUUCGUGAAAAUUACUAGACCCUUUGGUCAAAGAUUCUCGUACUUUUACGUUUAGUUUUUGUUUUUGUUUAUUGCAGGUUUUUCUUUUAGUGCAUGCCCCAUACUAGAAGUUCUGGUCAACCGUUAUUACCAAUCAAUCCGGAACCACAACGAAUCAACUCUUUCCUUGUUUGAUCAUUCAGGUAUGAACGAUGGGUAAAUUGUAUCUAUUAAAAUGACUCUUUAAAUUGUAAUGGAUAAGUCAACCAUAUAAAAAUUUGGGUUAAGAUUUUCCCCAAGUUGGGAGUAAGAAAUUUUAGGUUAGCCUAGGAUAGAACAAAAUUUAAGUGAGGUAUGGUUUAUGGAAAUCCAGGAAUAUAUUGGAUAAAUAUGCUUAAGUUUAGCUUAAUUUUAUGAUAGUUAACUUGUUAAGGAAUCUGUAGAACUUUUUAGAAGUUAAUACGGGGGAGUAGAAUCAAUAUCAAACUUGACACAAAGGAGUUAGUCUGGAAUGUCAUGGUUUGAGGGUGUGUUACUGAAAAGGCCAAACUGGAAGGAUUUCAAAGUUCUUGUCUUGCCACUCCCGCUAAAGUGGGUGGAAUAUCUCUAUAGAGACUCCUGAUAUUGAGGAAAAAUUUUUUCUAUAGCAGAUGUCAACACUGGUCAAGCCCUCUAUAGCAGGCAAUAGUGAGCUAAAUCGCUAAUAAUGCAAAAAUUUCCCCAAAAUGGUUUAUUAUUAUAAACUCAUUUUUGGGGAAGGGCAUAGGGGAUUUUCCUCAAUUUUCCAUCAAUUUUAUUUUUAAAGGUAAGUAUUUCAUCCCCAUUAACUAGUUUUUGGGUUAAUAACCUUAGAAUUACUAUUUUAUGGGUCUUGGGGAGGGUUGAAGCUUGCUGUAGCAAAUUUUAUGGUGAAAGGGAGUAAAUUAGAUAUAAAACCCUUUUUUUUUAAUUUUUAAUCAUUAAUUUACUCUUUUGUAUCAUUAAUUUAAUAAUGUAACCAUCAAAUUAGUUGUUUUAAGGUGAAUUAAAUAUUGGAAAACCCUAGGAUGGGUCGGAUAAUCAUGAUUUUUCCUUAGAGGUUCUGGAUUAGGUUAUAAACCUUGACAUUUUAGGUUAUUUGGCUAAUUAUAUACUAUAUUCUUAUUUCUAGACCAUAACCAACUAGAAAUUGCAUGAAAAGGCGAGGCUCAAGUUUAAUAAAGUUGUUCAUGCUUGGAUUGAGGUAGGUGAUGGUUUUAAUGUAGUUGAAACUCAAUUUGUGUUAUGUGUGCAUGAUAACUAAUUUUUAGUAUUACUUGUACAAUGCAUGUUCAAAGAAAGUGAAUGAUUAUUUGAUAAUUCUAAGUUUUAAUUGCAUACAAUGAACUUCAAUGAAAGCUUGUGAUUUUUACAUGUGUUGUUUUUAUUAUCAUUGUGGUUAUUGUUAUAUCUGCCAUUAUUGUGUAAUGUACAGGUAUUUGGACAUCACCACUAGAUUGGUUGAUAUAAGGUUGGUAUCUAGCAUUACAUACAUGGACAAGAGUUUAUCCCCUGCAAGUAAUGACUAGUGGGCACACACAUAAGACCCUUAGCAUGUGUAUACUUGGUACUGGUGAGUGGAGUAACACUUAGCAUAUGUGUACUUGGUACGUGUGGGUGUGACGGUUCCUUGAGCGAACCAGUGAUUGUUAUUUCCUUGAUUAUGUUGGCUCAUUAAGUUAAUCGAGCUUAAGUAUUUUUAUUAUUUAUUGGUUCCUUGAGUGAACUAGAUUUAUGUACUAAAUUGACAAAGGUGGUUUCUUUAUGUAAAUUGAGAUGCAUGAUAUUUGUGAUUAUUGCUAUACUUGUGGAUCUUUUUAUGGUUUAGGUCCAUUGCAAGUUGUGAUGUAACUCUAAAUUGUCUAUUACUUUUACAAAUUAGGACAUGAAUUAUAUGAUAUUUGUGUUAUGGAUAUUUACUUGAAGUCUUAUUGGUUAUCUUAGUUGACUUCAUUUGUCAUCCUUGUUGACUUAUAAUGACCAAACUUUAUAGUGUACAUAUUACAAGGCUAAGUGUUAUGGACUUGAAAUAAAAUUGCAUAAUAGGGUUUAUAGUUUUAUUGUUGUACUAUGUUUUGGUCAUGUCUCCAUAUAUAUUUCUUAUUUUGAGUUUAUUGAUGACCCUGCUAGCAUGCCAUUAUUUCUUGUGUGCUAAUACUGCACGUGCUCUUCUUUUUAUUGAGUGUAGAGCAUUUUUAGUAACUGUUUUAAGAUUUCAGCUGUCAUUCAAACCAUAUCAAAACUCAAAGGUAAGUUGCAUCCUUCAGGAUUCCAUGGUUUCAUCUAUUAUAUUUUGUUCUAUUUGUUUUAGACUUAACAUUACAUUGGUUUUCGAGGUGGCAUCCCUACUUUUGACAUUUAUUAAAGUUUUGGUACGAUGACUUUUAGGUCCUAGGGGAUGGUUUCUACGUUUAUUACAUUUCCUUUCUUACGUUAUGAUAUUGGAUAUUGAUUUUAUUCAAUAUAAUUGGUUUAGCUUUAUAGUUUUGGCUACGUUUGGUUGAUUGAUGGGUUAGUUAGUUCUCCUACCAGAUAUUUAGAGUGGGUGCCACUCGCGAUGAAUUUAGAUCAUGACAUAAAUUCUAUUGAUGACUAUUUAAUGAACUAUUUAGGCAAGGUGGAACUUAUUGUUGUUAUUCAUGAACUAUUAACUUGGUCUAUUGUUGUUAGCUGUAUUUUUGACUUGAUGAAUUAUCGGUAAUAAUUUAUACUUGUCUAGUGAUUGGUUGUAGUCAUUGUUCAGGAUGUUGCCUUAGCAGAUUUUUGUGUUGAAUUAUACCUAUUUUACUUGUUGAUAUUAAUAUAAAUAAAGUACAUUAAAGGUUUUAUUGACUUAUAAUUAUAGGGUUAUGUUUUCCUAUGAUACAUGGGUGCCUCUAUAUGUAGGUAUUUCUGAGAAACAUGUUAAUUGUUGAGGUCAUUAAAUGGGUACUAAGGGCUAGGAUUCCAUGCUCAUUGUGGUUGAGUCCUUAGUGAAGUGGUGUGAUCUCAUAUUUAGUCUAUUCUGGAGAUAUAAAGGUUGGUAUAUUUGAGGGGAAAAUGGAAGUUAUUCAUAUUAAGUACUGAUAUGAACUAUAUAUUGAGAAAAAAAUUAAUACACUAUAAGUAUAUGAUUUAUCUUGAAUUUUUGUAUUGUAUGUUAUCUUUUUUAACCUCGGCCGGUUAUGAUGCCUACCAAUAUGUGGUGUUAUACUGAUGCUAUACUUUUUAUAUUCUUUCUAGGGUAUAUUCUAGUUGCAAGGUCAGUUGAUGUUUCUAGAUGACAUGGAUAGUGAUCUCCAGCAGCUUCUACUCUUCUCAUUCCUAUAGUGAGAGAUAUUUCCUUUGUGUUGUCAUUUACUUGUUAGAAGUUCUUGUACAUUAUCUAGACUAGAUCCUCAAGAAAGGAUAUCUUCUUUCAAGUAUUUUAAAAAGAGUUUGUAAUAAAUUUCCAUAGUUUUGUGAAGAUUUUUUUAAUAUUUUGUUGUAACUUCUGCAUUUCUUAAUUGGGUGGUAAGGGUUUCUUAUCUAUAUGGAUUAGACUGGGUGCCCUCAUAAUUCGGUUAGUUGGAUCGUAAUAGUUGCUCUCAGAGCACUUAGUUACCGGUCUUACAAGUAUAAGAGAAAAUAUUUAGUAAAGUCCUACGGAUUGGGGUGUAGAUGUCCACAUCAAAUCCUAGGGAAGUUAUAAGGAAUUUUAGGAAUUUUUUCCUUUCUUCUUUCCUAUCAUGCUACCUUGGGUGUUGUCUAUCUAGGUUGAGCCAAAUUGGUAUCUAUUAGAUACCCAUUGGUAUAUUUGUAAUCACAAUUAGAAUCUAGUUAAUUCCAAUUGGUAUCAUGAUAAGUUCAUAAUUAAAAUCUAGUCAUUUAAUAUUAUAUAUGUCCAUAAGAGCUAUAACUUAUGAUUGUCGUAUGAACGUGAUGAAAUUGCUUGAUUAUAACUUUUUUUAGUAUAUUAAAAGAUGUGAUUGUGAUUGUUGCUUGGUUGGAUAAUAGUAACUUAUAUGGUUAACAAAAGUGUUGCUUGAAUUAGUUGUUUAAAGAGAAUUUUUUUUUUUGAAUUUUGUGAUUACUUAGAUGUUUAAUGGAUGACUGAAAUAUUUGUCGAUGAGUGUAUUGUAGGUUAAAUGAAUGAAAAUCUAUUGGUGAUUGAAAUGUAUAUUGACAACUAAAUUUUCUAUUAGAUGGUUGAGAGGGUAGAUAUUACAGCCCUUGGAAAUAAAUUUGAAUGAUGUGGUUGGUAAGAUAUUAUGUGUUGAUGAUUUAAAUGUCUGAUGUGGGCAUUAUUGUCCAUUUGAGGUGACAUAUUUAUUUAAACAUCUGACUUGUUUAACUCCAUGGUUUUGACUGUUGAUUUCGUAAACUAUUUUUAUUGUGAUGAUAAUCUGUAGUUGAUGAGGAAAUUGUUAGAUUAUGGUGGAUUAACAAAAUGGUUUGACAUUGCCUAUAUGUUUAUUGUAACAAAAUGACUUGUAAUUGGCUUAUUAUGGUUUGACAUUACCUAUAUGCUUAUUGUAUGUGAAAAAUUAUCGGUUAAUAGUAUCCUUGAAUAUGGUAUAAUUGAAUUAAAAAGACUUGUGAAAUAAGUGAGCUUGAUUAUAAUUAAUGAUCCUUAGUUAUAGGAUCAAUUGACGGAGUAGAGUUAUUAGAUUUGCUUAUUUCUAUUCAUAUCACUCUCAUUGUUGCAUGAUAAUACUUGGUUGUUAUUACUCCUUGAGUAGUUGAGGUAUGUUAAGUCGAUAAUUUGACUAAUUGUAAGCUAGAUGUGGGUCUAAAUGGCUAUAGUUUGUCCUUGUGUGAUAACUUGUGAGUUGAUUUUUUGUAUGAAAUAUUGAUUGUUAAUGGUCGAAUAGACUUAUGUGAGUUAUGGUUGAGAAUUUAUAUGUUACGGAAACCUCUAAUGGGGUGUUGGUGUUUGUACUCUAGAGAAUUUAAUCUAGUGUUCUGAUCAUGGAGGAGUGAAAAAAGAGUCAUAAAGUAGAUGUCCCGACGGGAAAAUGUAGCACAGCAUUAAGUGUAUUUUCUUCUUAUAGAAUUGUUUAAGGAAUAAGUAGUCGGGUAGAGUUUUUCCUAGGAUGAGAGUUGAUAAAAUCUCAGGCUAGCGUGGGUUCCAAUAAAAGUCCAAUAUUGGGCGGCUUAGUGAUAUUUGGUGUCUCGAGGUGUAGUGUUUGAUGAAUUUAAGGUGAUAUCAUGAUAGGUGAGGGACAUAAUGGCCCAUAUUAACUUUUGGAACUAUUCUAAUAAGUAUUUCCUAUAUUACACUAACCAGGUUCAGAACCUAGAUCUAGCAAUUCAUAAAAAGGUUCAAGAUCUGUCUAAUUGUUAUACCAAAAAGACAUCUCCCCUUUUUCAAAAAUUCACCCCAUAUUUUCCUCACAAAUUUUUAACAGAAUGCAUAGCCUUUUAGUUAAGGGAUUGAACAUUUCUCCAUUGAUUAGUCAGAAGAUGAAUUCAAAAUAAUACUAUGUUUUUAAGAAGAGGAAACACAAAUAUUUUUAUGUUCUAAGCUUAUAGCAAUAUUUGGUAGUGAAAAUCUUAUUAAUAUCAGCAAGCUUUUUAAAAUUAUUAACCCCUUUAUUUGUGAGGUAAGAUAAAUUACCCCAAGAAGACAGUGAAGCCUCUUUUACCAAUUGAAGCACUCCACAAAAUUCUACUUAAAGCAUCUUCAAUAAUUUCAAAAUUAAUUUUAUGAUAUUGCAUAGUUGUUAAUAAUUGUCAGAUGUGAUCCAUCAGAAUACUUUUAUUAUCAACAAAAGGAAAUUUCAAAGGACGACUCCUAAUAUUUAAAAUAUCUUGAAUUUGUAAUGAAUCUCUAGGUCAUUUCCGACAUUUCCAUAUUUUUUCAUCAUUUAGCAUUUUCCUAUAGCUUCCCCAACUCUUAUGACUUUUUGGAGCAACAGCUUAGGUAUUGGACAGUUCAUUUGGUUUUUAGAGUCAAUUUUCUAUUCUAAAAUCUUCGCUGAUAAAAAUUGGUUAUCAAGCAAAAACUUCAGUUUAACGACCUUGUAUGCCAAUUAUGACAGUUCCAAAAACUUUGCAACAUAAUUUUAGGUUAGGUAGACCUUUGGUUUGGAUCUCAAGGCUUUCAGACUCAUUUCAGGCUAUUGGUUAAAAAUUAAGAAAAAUGACACUUGGGUGUGGGACCCACUUUUCAUAAAAAUGAUCUCGUAUGGAAAUUUUGACUGUGUCAUUGAGUUCGAUAUUUUGAAUUUGAUAGCUUAGUAUAGUUCGUUUGCAUAGAUAGGAUUCUGAAUGAAUCCCCGAGGUCAGUGUAGACUUGGAAGAUUCCAUGUCUUCAACUAGUGCACUGAAUUGGUGCAUCCAUUAAAGCGACCUUUUGGGUGUAUUAGCAUAAGCCACUUUUAUCACGGUCCAAAAUCAAAGGACAUAAUGGAACUUGUCGCGGCAAACCUUGACAAUUAAGCCUACCACCCAAACUGUUAUGAAAUGAUAUAAAAUCACAAUCCAAGGCAAGACUCCUAGAACGGAGUUGAACCACACAUAUAUAGUAAGAGCAAAAAGUACAUAUCUGAAAAUACCAUAAAAAUAUCCCAAAAUCUGGUGUCACGGUGUAAGAACCAACUAAUGCAACUCGAAGUCAAAGUAUACAUAGGAUAUCCAAAAAGGAACACAUAGUCUAGAUAAGAAAAGGUAGAAUUUAACUCCAUAUGCAAAAAUCAACUGCUACAUUGAAUAGACUCCAAGUACCGCCUGAAUCAAUUAUCGUGCGAUGCACUCAUACCUAGAUCUGCACCGAAAUGGCACACUAUGGGUGAGUACAGUUCACUUGUACUCAAUAGGUAUCAUAGGAUGACUGAGCAAAGUAGAAAUAAAGCAUAUAAAAUACACACUAUAGGCACGUCAUUUGCAAUGAGAAAAUGUCCCAAAUUGUAGUCCACACCGUCUCCACUAACAGUUCUACAAUAUUCACAUAUACCAUACACAAAUACGAGAAAGAAGCACAAGUAUAAAGAUAUCACAUAUACAAGUAUGAAAAUGUGGUACACGUAGAAAGAUCAUAUCAAAACGAUAAUACAACAUAGAAUAAACACAAUAAAUAUGUAUAUGAAAUGAGAUAAAGAUGAUGGUGAUGCCCAAGGUUGUCGAAUAACCUUUGUAUACACCUACUGAGCUAUGCUCCCGAGGUAGGAUCCAUGGGAGGUUCAUCAACCCAUAUACAAUACAAUAUGAAAUACUAAUAUCCAUGAUUUUUCUUUGGCACGUCCCUCAGCAGAAGGUCUAUAUUGAUGUCAUAGGUUAGUGUUUCCAGUAUUUCCUUAGUUGAACCAAUGUUUCAUGAGUGCAUAUAAUAUAAGGAUGCAAUACUCACAACUAUCUAGAAUGAGAGAUCUCAAUAAUCAACCAAAAUGCCCAUAUAGGCCAAAUUCACUCAAUAUGCACAACAACCCAUGAAACCAACAUAAUCAUAUACCAAUAGAGAAAAUUACACAACAAUAAGCCAUUGAUACAAAUCAAUUACAACUUAGGAUUUUCACCUGACAGAUACCACCAAAUAUACAUACAUAAAAGCCAACAACAUCAUAUAAGACCCCACACAGUCAUGUAUAGCAUGUAGUGUAUCAAAACCACUAAUUCACAAAAAUAUAGAACCCCACACGAGCAGACACAAUAAUAUAGUCAUUUUCUUGAGUUGGUUUCCACACCCUUAACAUGAUUUUUAUAUCCAUAAUAACAACCCUACCCUGUCUGAAGAAAGUUAAGUCAUAACCUACCUUUGAAUACAAAAAUAAAAAUGAAUAAGCCUUGAUCACUGAGCCUUCACCUCACACAAAAAUAUAGAAUUCACGUGUCAAAAGAAAGAUAAUGAUACCCAUAUUGCCAAUUUCCAAAUCGAGGUCAAUACAGACCCUCAAAAUAAUUUUCAAAAAAGAAGGGUAAAAUUGAAAUUUUAGUCCAAAAAUCAUAUUUACCAUGAUUAAAGGAACUCAUAGGUGAAAACCCAAGUGAAAAUGCAUUGAAAUUGGGGUUUGAAUUGAAGAAAUGUUAUUUUGGGCCUUUCAACCAAAAAUCCCCAAUUUCCAUUUUUAAAUCCUAGUUUAAACAAGAUUUAAAUGAUAAAAUAAAAAAAAUAGUUGAAAUAAGAGUUUGGAUCUUACCCAAGCUUGGAAAUGGAUUAAAUCACCAAAAAACCUUAAAACUUAAAGCUCCAAGUCUGAAAAAUGGUGAAGGAAAUGAGAAAAGAAUUUUAUAUACCUAAGGGGUCAGGUGUCACCAAAGCGGUCAAGUACCAUUUAGAGAUACCAGCUAAUGUGUGUCAGUCUGCUAAAGUAAACAAAAGUCGCUUUAGGUCCUACCGUUAAAGUGGAUAGGGCAAUGCUAAAGUUCCCUUGUCUAGCUGAAGUCAGCCGCUAAUGUGGCCAAGCGGCGCUUAAGUGGUUGCACCAGCUAUGGAGUCUUGGAAAAUUCCAAGUCUCCGUGGACCCCUCGGGAUUCUUCUAGAAUCCCUAGAACAUAAACAAACUAUAUUAUGUUAUUAAAUUCGAUGCUUCAUACUCAAUGGUGCCAUCAGAUUUUUGAAAAAAUAUUGUUUUCACAGAAUUAACCCCCGAGACCUAUUUUAACAACAUUCUGAAUGGAGGGUCGAAAUGAGAUACAAAGCUAUAAAACCACACCACCAUGUUACCAACCUAAAAUCAAUACUUCAGAUUUGUUGGCACAGUCUAUGUUGCCAUCUGAUGCAUAAAUUAAAAGAUGUUGACCAAAGUCAAAUACUAAGCCUUUAAUACCAUUAAACCCACAAUCUCACGCAAAUCAAACACUAUGUCAAUCAUCUCCACACCCCAGAAAUACCAUAAUGCAACCACGGGGAGGGGUAACAUGGUCAAAUCGCAUAGAAAUAAAUAUUUCACACAAAUCACCAAAAAUCCAAUCAUUACAUCAUCCACCACUAAGAAUAUAGUUCAUCCUCAAUAUAAAGGCAAUAAAAAUAUCUGAAUCGAAAAAAAGUUAGGGAUAACUACUAUGCAUAUCAGACUCGAACUCUCAAGUAGACUUAUUUAUAGGUCAGUGCCUUUACUACACCUUAACCACAGAAAUAUCUCUAGAUGCAACUGUCUUAAAUCCCUGGAUAGUAUGGAGACUGACUCAUCAACAAAUGACAACCAGUCAUCUAACUUAACUGAAUCCCAAUGAAUGACAUAAGACUCAUCUCGAAAGCAUAGAAACAUGAAAAAUUGGAUUAACAACUGAUAAAUCCAGAGGUAAUUCUAACUCAAAAUCUAGAUCCCUAAUAGUCUAAAAGAUCUUAAAAGGUCCAAUAUAUCUGAGGUUAAGCUUGCCCCUCUUCCCAAACCUCAUCACACCCUUCAUGGGUAAUACACGGAGGAAUACAUGAUCACCAAUACUAAAAUCAAGACAUAAAGUCUACGAUCCACAUAGCACUUCUACCUACUUUGAGCCGCUCAAAGUCUAUCCUAAAUGACUUGAACUAUAUCCAAAGACUCACAAAGCAUGUCCGUACCUUGAGGUCUAAUCUCAGAAACUUCAAUCCAACCAACUAGAGAGUGACAACCUAGCAUACAAAGCCUCGAAGAGAGACAUAUCAAUAUUAGAAUGGUAGAUAUUAUUAUACACAAACUCUACCAAAGCUAGAUAUUGUUUCCCCUGACCUCCAAAAUCCAUAAUCCAGGCAUGGAACAUAUACUCCAAAACAUGAAUAGUCUGCUUUGACUGACCGUCGGUCUAAGUAUGAAAUGUCAAACUAAGAUCAACUUGGUACCCAACUCCUCCUAAAAAGUCUUCUAAAAGUGAGAUUUGAACACUGAACAUCAAUCUACGAUGAUAGACACAGGUAUACCAUGAAGAUGAACUAUCUCAGGAAUAUAGAUAUAUGUCAAUCUCUCAGCACUGAAGGACACCUAACUAGAAUGAAAUAAGUAGUUUGGUUAAUCAAUCCUUGAUGACCUAAACAAUAUUAGAACCACGAUAAGUACGAGGCAACCCAAUCACAAUGUCUAUAAUGAUUUGUUCCCAUUUCUACUCUGGGAUUGGUAAUCUCUAAAAUAAAUCAUCAGGCCUCACAUGCUCGGCUUUCACCUGUUAGCAAUAUAAGCAAUGAGCAAUAAAAUUUGCUACAUCCUUUCUCAUACCACCCCACCAGUAAUAUUGUCUCAAACACAAUAUAUCUUAGUCACUCCCAAAGAGAUAGAAUACCUGGAACAAUAAACCUCCUCCAAAAUGAAUCUAAUCCAAUCACUCAUUCUUAGCACAUAAACUCGACCACCAGUUGCAAGAUAUCAUUUGGAUCAAGCGAGGCUUUCUUAGCAUCACCACUCAAUGCCUUAUCUUGAAUCACUUUCAACCCUACAUCAUCAAACUAAUGAGCCUAAAUAUACUCUAUCAAGGAAUAUCUAGCCUAAAAAAUACCAAAAAAUACAUUGAGGUGUAAAAAUAUCAAGCCUAACCAUUUGGUUAGCCAAAUACUAAGCAUCUAAGGACAAAGGUCUCUCUUGAGUCAAAUGCUGCUCCAAGAUACCCAUGCUAGUUGACUUCCAGCUCAAGGCAUCUGCAACCAUAUUAGCCUUGCUCGGAUAAUAGGGAAUAAUCAAGUCAAAACCUUAAGCAACUCAAGAUAAUGAAAUUGUCUCAUAUUAAGGCCUCACUCGGUGAAGAAAUACUGAAGGUUAUGAUGAUCUAAGAAAAUCUCAGAACGGACUCCAUACAAGUAGUGCCUCCAUAAUUUUAAGGAAAAAAUAACCAUGUAUAACUCCAAAUAAUGGGUAGGGUAAUUCCUCUCCUGGGGAUUCAACUGACAAGAAGCAUACGUAAUCACCUUACCCUUCUACAUCAACACAAUACCUAAUCCAAUACCAGAAGCAUCACAGAAGACGGUAAAACUCACCCUCUCUUUGGGCAAAGUUAAUAUAAGAGUUAAAGUCAAUAGAUCCUUGAGAUUUUGAAAGCUCACCUCAUAAGAAUUCAACUUGGUCAGUGAAGCUGUAUAGAUGAAAAACCCUUAACAAAGCACCGAUAGUAUCUAGCUAAACCAAUAAAAUUUUGAAUCUCAGUAAGAGAAGUAGGACUAGCCCAAUCAUGAACCACUGCAAUCUAGUACAGAUCAACCAUAAUACCAUCCUUGAUUGCCACAUAACCUAAGAAAGAAGUAGACUCCAGCCAAAACUCAUACUUUGAGAACUUAGCAUACAACUUAUCACCCCUCGAUCUUUGAAGUACAAUUUAUAAAUGCUUCUCAUGAUCAGCCUCACUCUUGGAAUAAACCAAGAUAUCAUCUAUAAAUACAGUGAUAAAAGGGUCAAGAUAAGAUCAAAAAACCUAGUUCAUCAACUCCAUGAAUAUCGUUGGGGUAGUGGUCAACCCAAAGUACAUGACUAAGAACUUAAAAUGACCAUAUCAAAUCUAAAAAGCUAUCUUCAGAAUAUUCAAAGCUCUAAUCCUUAACUUGUGAUACCUGUAUUUCAAAUCAAUCUUUGAAAAUACCAAAUCACCUUGAAGCUGAUCAAACAAAUCAUCAAUACAAAAAAGAGGAUACUUAUUCUUAACCAUCACCUUGUUGACUAUCGAUAAUCAAUCCACAUACGCAUGGACCUAUCUUUUUUCUUAACAAACAUGAAAGGUGCACCCUAAGGUGAUACACUAGGUCAAAAAAGGAAAGAUAUAACUCUCUUGGGACUCAAAUGUAGCACACCCUUCUAAGUUAUCAUUGGCACACCCGGCAAAGCUAAAGUCAUGGUCAUAGCAUAACAGUCUAGGACAGUAUGAUAAGGAACUAAGCAAUGCAUACCCAAUAUAACAUCAAAGUCCACCAUAUUUAAUACAAUCAGAUCUACCCAAGUUUUAGCCUCAUAAAAGUCACAAUAUAGGAUCGGUACACCCGAUCCACCACUAAGAAGUCUCCUACAGAAGUAGAUACAUAAUAGAAAUGGCAAGAGCCUCACUAGAAAAAAUACAACUCAAAAUAAAAUUACAGACACAUAGGAGAAAGUCAAUCUUGAAUUAAAUAACAUAGAUGUAGAUCUAAAACAAACAUGAAUGACACCUAUAAUGAUGGGAAUAGAAGCCUCUAUCUUUGGUCUGGAGGGUAUAGCAUAGCAGUGUCCAUGACCACUAACUGACUGGGUUUCCACGACCACCACCUUGGGCACCACUACCUCUACCUUAUGCACCACUAGUAUAACCUCUACUUUUUACAACUGGUAUAGGAGUAUCCCUAAAAAAAUAGUGGGAUAAUCCUUAGCCAAAUGGCCAACCUCAUCACACACAUAGCAACCUCUACAACUCAACUCUAAAGAAGAAGUUACCACUGAGCUAGGAUGACGACCAAUAGUUAUUAAAAUAGAAAAUCCACUACUUGACCCCUACAAGGCUUCCUAUACUAGUUUAUUAUUAUACACAUAGAAACUUCUAGAAUCUUUACCUCAAGUAGCAUAACCUCUAAACUAACCUAAACAAAGCACCCCUUUAGUGUCUCUCUAGAACCCUCAAAGAAUAGACUGAUACUGCAUAUACUACCAUAUGAGUCAUAUCCAUAUGAAGAGAAACAUCCAAUCCCUUAAUGAACUUCUGUAUCUUCUUAGACUUAGUGGUAAUGCUAACAUAAAAAUAUCUCGACAAGGUAUUAAAACAUGCCUCAUACUCCAUAACAUUCAUGGAUCCCUGCACCAAGUGAUCAAACUCAUUUCUGAUCUAAUUCUUCAGACUAUAAGGCAUAAACCUCUCCAAAAAGCCUCAGCAAAUAUAUCCCAAGUCAUCUCUAGAGAAUCAAGAGGUCUGUAAUUGACAAGUGACCUCCACCAAUCUCGGGUUGUAUCUCUCAAAUAAUAAGUAGUGUAAGAAUUCCCAUCCAAAUCAAGUGAUCCAAGGUUAUGCAACUUCUCUUUACAAUCAACCAAGAACGCAUAAACAUUCUCGCCCAUGGCAGCACUGAACCUAGGAGGACCUAAAUGAGUGAAUCUCUUAAACCUUUUUUUAUCCUUAGAAGACAUAAUUUUACUCACAGUACUAGAAAUCAUAGUAAAUAUAGCUGGAUAAGAUCCAAUAUAAGGAGGUAACAUAGAUGAAGGCUAGAUUCCUAACCUUGAAAUACCAUACUCAGAUGCAGGAACUGAAUAAGGAACAAGAGUCAAAGUUUGUAGAGUACCAUAAGUUGAUAUCAAUACCACUAAAUGAUCCAUACUCGGGACCAUAGAAACAUCAUAAGCAAACUCUGGAACAAAUGAAGGUAUAAUUCUCAGAGCUGGAGGACCCCAGGUGCACUCAAAGGAGAACCUUCCAAAUGCAUUAGUAAAUGAAUCAAUAAUCUCUCUAAGAUUAGGUAGAAGAACUUUGUAGGAUGAGAGUAGGACCCAUAACUCCAACAUACUUGACCUGAGGCUCAAGGGAAAGUCCCCUAGUUCUAUCUCUAGACUUGGUAGAUCCUUAUGCCUAUUCUUUACCUCAAGCCUAAUUAUGACUCACAACUUGCUCUCUAAACUAGGCUCUCUCCUCAGAUAAAGGUUCCACAUCUAUAACCUUAUGAGAUCUAGUCAUCACCAUAUACCCAAACAAGAGUAAAAUACUAUUUAGAACACAAGGUAUAAAAGAUCUGCAUGACAUGGAACAAAUAAGAAAAGUUUCCUAAAGAUAUCUUAUAGCCUCUUGAAGAAAUAUACAAGCAUUGACAUAUUAAUUUGUGUGACUCUAUUAGACACCCCAUUGUUAUAGUGUUGAGACUAAUGGAACUUGGCUGCUCUAAUUACAAUCUAUCACAACCCAAAAUCAAAAGUCAUGAUGGCACUUGUCGUGGUAAACCCUGACAAGUAAAUUUAUCACCCAAACUGAUAUAAAAUAAAGGAUAAAAUAAAAAUCAAAGGCAAAACUCCUAGAACAUAGUUGAACCACACAUAUAUAUUAAAAAUGGAAAGUACAUAAUUGAAAUAAUCACAUAAAUAUUCUAAAGUUAAGUGUCAUAUUGUAAGAACCAACUAAUACAACUUGAAGUCAAAAGAUAUGUAUGAUAUCUAAAAAGGAAAAACUCUCUGUUUCUUCAAAUAUAAAUAAGGCAUAGUCUAGAGACGAAAAGGUAAAACUCAACUCUGUAUGCAUAAAUCAACUGCUACCUCGAAUAGUCUCCAAGUACCACCUAAAUCAACUAUCGUGUGAUGCACUCAUAAUAGGAUCUACACCGAAAGGGCAUAGUAAGGGUGAGUAUGGCCCACUUUUACUCAUUAGAUACCAUAGGCAAACUAAGAAAAGUAGAAAAUAAAGCAUAUAUAAUACACAAUAUGGGCAUGUGACCUACAAUUAAAAAUGUCCCAAAUGGUAGCCACACUGUCUCUACUAAUAGUUCUACAAUAUUUACAUAUACCAUACACAAAUACAAGAAAGAAGCACAACUAUAUAGAUAUCGCAUAUACAAGUAUAAAAAGUGGUACAUGUAGAAAAAUAUCACAUCAAGAUAAUAAUACAACACAGAAUAAAUACAAUAAAUAUAUUUAUGUAAAAUGCAAUGAAGAUGGUAAUGGUGUUGUUGAAGAUGAUGCCCUAGGUUGUUGCAGAAUCUCUGUAAUUAAAAUACCUUAAAUUUUUGGCCCUUGAAAAUUCCUUAAGAUCAGAGCUCACUUUCCUGGUUAUGACUGGACCCUAUGAGUCAUAGGGUGUUUGGAUAAGUCAUUGGGAUAAGUCAUAACCAAACUAAUAAGUUUGUGGCUUGAUUUAGCUCUAAGUACAAGUGGCUCAAAAAUAUCCAUAAGAAUAUGUUAUGAGUCAUUAGGAGUAGUAGUAGGGUGUCCAAUGUAAGUCCCAAUUUGGGUUCUAUGUUGACUAUGACUAGACCCUAUGAGUUAUAAGGUCCUUUUAUGAGUCUUAUGGUUGAGUCAUAAUGAUAACAGUGUAGGGUACCUUGGUGGUACUUCUUUUCUUAUGAAUCAUGGUGAUGGGGCAUAAGGAAAGGUUAUGAGUCAAUUGGUUGACUCGUAAUCAAAGAGGACACUUUUUAGUUUUUAAGUUGAGGGCACUCUGGAUAUUUCCCACUUUAACCCCUUGGACCCUACUAUGUAUAGCCUUCUUUGAGUAUUAAUUAUCACAUCAUUCCAAAUAAAAUACUCCCAAAUUCUCACUCAAACUCUCUCCUCAUGUUAAGGCCAUAGUUUCAAAGAAAAUAGUUAUCUAGGGUUUAAGGGUGCUUUUUUCACCAAAUUUCUUGGUAUUUCAGGUAUGUUACUCUUCCCUCAUUGUCAAUUUUAUAAAGCAUAUGAUUUAAAGUAUUUUUCAUAAGAUAUUGAUGUUGGGUUUUGAACUAUGUGUUCAGGGUUUUUAAUAUAAAUUGUUUAAAUAUUUUUCUAUGAUAUCUAUGAAACUAUUAUUCUUAAAUUUAUGGUUAGUAAAUACAUUGGGGUGCAUGGGAAUGGUGGAUGAAAAUAGGGGUAUAAAGGAAUCCCCAAAUUAAUUAUUUUGGAAUGGAAAUUGGAAACAACCUCAACCACUUGCAUAAUUGAUUUUGGUUUAUGCAUUAUUACUUGGUUUGGUUUAUUUCUUGAAACUAGUGCAUAGCAUGAAUGGUUAAUUAGUUAUGGGCGGUUUGGAAAACCUUUUGGGGUACACGGGAAUCCCUCAAGAAAUUUUAAUAAUGGAGUUUGUUGGGUACAUGGUAAUCCCCUAAGUAUUGGUUAAUAAAAUUGCUUGUAUGCCAUGGUCGGUAUGAUGACACCACUUAAUAAUGCCUUAAUGUUUAACUCCUGAAAUUGGUGGUUGAAGUAUGUGUUACAUGUUUUAAUUGGGAAAUAAUAGUAAUUGUGUUAACUAGCCAUGAAGGUGUAAGUUUGAAGGACUGAUACUGGAAACCCAUAUUGGUUGACAUGAGGGUUGGUCUUGAGGACCAUAGACUUAUGAGGUAUAAGGGAAUCCCCCAAGUGUAUAUUCAUAUAUAUGUAUCAUGGAGGGAGAAGGGUAUAAGGAAAUACCCAAUCAUCUAUGAUAUUUCUAGUUUGUAUGGCUAACAUGCACUAGGGCUCGUUCAAGGGUAACACUAGACCCGUGUAGCCUGUGGGUAGAUUUGUGAUGGUAAAGCUACACAAACUCAGGUUAAAGUUCUAAAGUCCAUGCUAAUGCCAUUCCCUAUCCUAUCAUUAUAUCUAUGUGUAUAUAUGGAUGAGAAUGGAUGUGUAUAGGUGCUUUAGUUUGACUUGAUUUUGAAUUAAUGGCAUUAUUUUAUCCAUAUCCUUAAGUUACAUGCUAAAGUUCACCCUUCUAACCAUCUUCGGACAUUGUAUCCCCACUCAAUAUAGGAACUAGCUAUACUUCUACCUUUCUCGCACUUUGACUUAGAUUUGAGAUAAGCUCGUGAGUCAUACUGAAGUAGUAAGCCUCCAUACUUUAGAAGGACUUAUUUCUUCCUUUGGUUUAUUUUAUAUUCUGACUAUUUCUUUAGACUUGGUUUUGGCUAUGGUCCGAGGUAUGUAAUGACUAGAUAUUCUUUGAUUUUAGUUAGAGGCUUUGUUGAAUAUUACUGCAAACUUUGAUGCAGAUAUUGGUGGUUGUUUAAAUUAUUGUAUUAGAAUCCUUUAACUUUGUUCUUUAUCAUGUUAUAUGUUCGUAAUUCAUCCUACAUGAGAUGUAAGGUUUUUAUUGCUCAGAUAAAUAGGUGGUGUCCUCCCAUCGUAGUUGGACUUGAGGUACUAAACACGGCCAAGCCCUAGUUUGGGUCAUGUCAAAUUAGUAUUAGAGUCACUCAUGUGUCAUCCUUAUCGAUGUAGGCCAGAGUUCAAAUAAGUCCAUAAGAGGGGUGUAUAUAACACCCCAACUUAAAAUAGGGAGUCCCAUAUUGACAAAACAUAGGAGAGAUGCUGGGUAUAUAAGUAAGCAAGCCUUACUCUCUAGUGAUGCAUUUUAAAGUCAUACGAGCCUAGGCCCAAAUCGGACAAGAUCACUAGUGGAUUGGGCCGUUAAAAAUGGUAUCAGAGACUAGGUUUAUGGUCAAUUGGGUGUUCAUAAAUCUAUCAUAAGUAGAGUCUUUUUUAUGAGUGUGAAGCGUGUCACACUUAUGAGGGAGAGGCUAUGUGGCAUUUAGGAAUAUUUCCCUUUCUUGUUUUUAAAUUUUAAUUUAUAGAAUCUAAGGUCUUGAAUCUCCUAUAAUUCUGAUUUGUUUGAUUUUUAGAUCAUGCCUCCCAGACGAUCUAAAGUUCAUUAAAACUCCUUUGUCCUACUUGAGGACAAUGCUUAGUGGACACGCCCUGCUUAUAGGGUACAAACCCGAGUCUAGGGGUCUAGUCCCUGAUUUCCUUUCUAAAGUUCCAUUGGUCCCGUCGAGUCCUCCUCGAGCCCCUCAAGCUGAUGUGUUAAAUGUAGAAUUUUGUCAAUCUAUUCAUAUGUUGGCUCAGUUGGUAGCUUCUCAGUUUGAGUGUGUAGCUUUUCUUACUCUAUCUUCUUGGGGCAUAAGGGUUGGCUAAUUUAUGAGGUUGAUUCCUCAUAUAUUUAUUGGUUCUAAAGUUGAGGAAGAUCCUUAAAACUUUAUCAAUGAGAUGGUGAAGAUCUUCUGGUUAUGCAUGAUUCAGAUAUUGAGGGUGUAGAAUUUGCUUCCUUCUAAUUGAAGGAUAUGGCAUAUAGUGGGAGUAUUUGAGAGGUGAAUAUGUUGAUUUUGUUGUAUGGGAUGAUUUUCUACUACUUUUCUACACGACUUCUUCCCUCAGGAGUUGAGUAAGGCAAAAGCAGAAGAGUUUGUUAAUUUGAAGCAAGGAAGAAUGACAAUCAAGGAAUAUGCCUUAAAAUUCCAUAAGUUGUCCCGGUAUGCUUCCCGAUUUGGUGUCUAUCAUGAGAGCUAGAAUGAGGAAUUUCACUUUUGGGUUGUCCAGAGAUUUGAUUUUGGAGAGCGAGGCUGCCUUACUGAAUAAGGACAUAGAUAUCUCCGGACUGGUGGUAUAUAUGCAUAGAGUUGAGGAAGAGAAGAGGAAGCAAGCUAAGAUUGGGGAAGAAAGUGUAAGAAAUUUUGGUAUUCAGAAAAAGGAAGAGAUCUUUGGAAGAGUGGAAAGGAUAUUGGGAAGUGGUCCAAGAAGAAGUGGGGAAGUUCUGGGUCCUACUCGAUGGUAAUGCUCCUUAUUUAAAGCCAUCGGCUAAUUAUCAUUCUCAGCAUGAUAGUGUGUUUAGGGAACAGGGUGCCCAAUCUUAGGCAUGUGGGGCUCAGCCCGCUUCAUCAUAUCCUCCCUACAAAUUUUAUGGUCGAUUACAUCAUACUUUCUAUGAUGAGGGAAGGGACAGGUGUUUCAUUAGCUCCUGCACUAAAGGGUACUGCUUUUACUUUUUGUACUAGCACUGGCCGAAAUCACUUGUAUGCCUUUUCUACUUAUCAAUACUCUGAGGAAUCUCCCGAUGUCAUCACUGGUAUGUUACGACUCUUUUCUUGUGAUGUGUGUUGUUUACUUAUUUUGGGGUCCACUCUUUCUUAUGUGACCCCAUAUAUGGCUGUAUAUUUUGAUUUUGGUAUCAAGUAUAUUUUGAUCCCUUUUUUUAUUUCUAACCUGGUGGGUGACUCUAUGGUUUCUAAAAGAGUCUAUAGGGGUUGUGUGGUGUUUGUUGGUGAUAGAGAAACUUUGGUGAAUCUAUUUAAAUUAGACAUGGUUGAUUUUGAUGUCAUAUUAGGGAUGGAUUGGUCGCACUCGUGCUAUGCCUCCUUAGAUUGUCAAACCCGUAAGGUCAUAUUUAAACUCCCUAAUGAGCCAAUCAUUGAGUGGGAUGAGGGUUCUGUAGCGCCAAAGAAAAGAUUCAUAUCAUAUCUUAGAGCUCAGAAAUUGAUUUCCAAAGGAUGUAUUUACCAUUUGGUCCUGGUUAAAGAAUCUAACUCAGAGGAUCCUUUCUUACAAUCUAUUUCUAUGGUUAAUGGAUUCCCUGAGGUUUUUCCUGAUGAUCUUCCUGGUAUCCCUCCUGAUAAGGAGAUUGAUUUUGGGAUAGAUCUUGUUCCACACACUUGUCCUAUCUCUAUCUCUCAUUAUAGAAUGGCUCCGACAGAGUUAAAGGGGCUUAAAGAGUAAUUAAAGGAUCUCCUAGAUAAUGGUUUUAUUUGUCCUAGUAUGUCUUCAUAGGGUGCUCCGAUAUUGUUUGUGUGUAAGAAGAAUGGUUCCCUUUGGAUGUUUAUUAACUACCGAUAAUUAAAUAAGGUCACAAUAAAGAACAAGUAUCCUCUUUCUCAGAUUGAUGAUUUGUUCGACCAGCUUCAGGGUGCUAGAUGUUUCUCUUAGAUUGAUCUUUGGUCGAGUUACCACCAGCUAAAGAUUAGGGAGGUGGAUAUCCCUAAGACUAUCUUCCAACCCGGUAUGGUCAUUAUGAGUUCUUUGUCAUGUUUUUUGGUUUGACUAAUGCCCCGGCAGCAUUCAUGGACUUGAUAAAUAGGUUAUUUUAUUAGUUUUUGGAUUUGUUCAUCAUUAUGUAUAUAGAUGAUAUUCUGGUAUAUUCCAAGAGUGAGGUGGAUUAUGCUGAUCACCUUUGUAUCAUGUUGUAAACCUUGAAAGAUCGGCAUUUGUAUGCUAAGUUUUUGAAAUGGGAAUUUUGGUUGAAAGUUGUUACUUUUAUGUGUCAUGUCAUUUCUAGUAAAGGUAUCAUGGUGGAUCCACAGAAUGUUGCAGUGGUUAAAAAGUGAACUAGGCCCACGACUCUAAUCAAUAUUUGGAGCUCCUUGGGUUUAGCCGAUUAUUACAGAAGGUUUGUAGAAAGUUCCUCUUCUAUUAUGGCCUCUUUGACUAAAUUGACUUAGAAGAAGGUGAAAUUAUCAUGGUCUGAUGCUUGCGAGGGUAGUUUUGAGAAGAUGGAAGAUAAGUUGACUUCAGCUCUAGUUUUGACUCUACCUGAAGGUAGUGAUGGAUUUGUGAUUUUUUAUAAUUCAUCCCAUACGGUACUUGGUUGUGUGUUGAUGUAGCAUGGUAGGGUACUGGCCUAUGCUUAUAGGCAGUUUAAAGUUCAAGAAAAUAAUUAUCCGACUCAUGACUUGGAGUUAUAUCCUGUGGUAUUCGUAUUAAAGAUUUGGCAUCACUAUUUGUAUGGAGUCCAUGUAGAUAUCUUUUCUGAUCAUAAGAGCCUACAAUAUAUGCUCACCUAGAAGGGGAUGAAUCUCAGAAAAAAAGAUGUCUUGAGUUCUGAAAGACUACGACAUGAGUUUUCACUACCACCCAGGUAAAGCUAAUGUGGUUGUUAAUGCUCUUAGCAGGUUAUCCAUAGGGAGUCUAGCUUAUGUGGAUGAGAAAAAAUAGGAAUUAGUGAAAGAUAUUCACUGUCUAGCCAACCUUGGAGUUCGUCUCUUAGACUUGAGGACGGUGGUGUGUUUGUGCAAGUGGUGGUGAAUCAUCCCUUGUUGUUAAAAUAAAGGAGAAGCAGGUACUAGAUCCUAUCUUAAUAAAGAUUUACAGGGAUGUGGGACAGAAAAAGAUUGUUGCUUUUGAGAUUAGUGGUGAUGGUAUCUUUAGGUUCUAAGGCAGAUUAUAUGUUCCUAACAUAGAUGGAUUGCAAGAGAUGAUCUUAGUUGAGGCUUAUGAAUCGUGUUAUACUAUUUAUCCUGGUUCAAAAUAGAUGUAUCAUGAUCUUAAGAAAAUUUAUUGGUGGAACAAUAUGAAGCAAUAUGUGGCUCAUUUUGUGGCCAAAUGCAUUAUAUGUCAAUAAGUAAAGGUUGAGCAGUUGAGGCUUGAAGGGUUGUAUCAAGAGAUUGAGUUGCUUGUAUGGAAAUGGGUGAAAAUUAAUAUAGAUUUCAUUACCGGUGUUUCUUGAUCUAGAAAUUAGUUUGAUUCAAUUUGGGUUAUCGUGGAUAGGAUGGCUAAGUUUGCUUACUUCUUGCCAGUGAGGAAUAAUUACUUGGCAAAGGAUUAUGCUAAGUUGUUCCUCUAAGAGAUCGUGAAAUUAUAUGGGGCGCCUGUUUCUAUCAUGUUAGAUCGUGGUACUGAGUUCUCAUCACACUUAUGGCAUUUAUUUCAGAGAGGUUUAGGAACUAAGGUGAGCCUUAGUACUGGUUUCUACCCGCAGUCUUAUAGGCGAGCAGAAAGGACUAUUCAUAAAUUAAAAGAUAUGCUUAGAGCUUGCGUGAUUGACUAUGGUGGUAUUUGGGUUGAUUAUUUACCUCUUAUAGAGUUUGCAUAUAAUUGUAGCUACCACACUAGUAUUGGGAUGCCUCCAUUUAAGGCAUUGUACGGUAGGGGGUGUAGAUCUCCUAUUGGGUAGUUCAAGGUUUGUGAGGCAGAGAUGUUUGGUUGGGAUUUGGUUCACCAAGCAAUGGAGAAGGUGAAGUUAUUUGGGAUGGACUCAAAAGCUUCCCAAAGUCUCCAAAAGUCUUAUACAGAUGUAAGGCGUAGGGAGUUAGAGUUUGAGGUUAGCGAUUGGGUGUUUUGAAGGUAUCUCCCAUGAAGGUAGUAAUGCAAUUUGGGAAGAAAGGGAAGCUCAUACCCUGGUAUUUCAGACCGUGCUUGGUGUCGAAGAGGGUUGGUAAGGUUGUAUAUGAAUUGGAGUUACUCUCUAAAUUGAACUCCAUUCAUUCAACAUUUCACAUUUUGAUGUUGAGAAGGUGCAUAGGUGAUCCUUCAAUGGUUAUUCCUUUGAAGUAGGUUAGUACUUCGGAUUCCUUAUUAUCUAAGAAAGUCCCGGUUGAAAUUUUGGAUCGGAAAGUUUGUUGGUUGCGGACAAAAGAUGUAGCUUUGUUAAAGGUUCUAUGGAGGAACCACAAGAUUGAAGAGGCUACUUGGGAAGCCAAAGAGGACAUAAAGUCCAAGUAUGCAUUCUUGUUACCCACUUCGGAUAAUCAUGCCUAAGGUAUGUGUUAUUCUUAACAUCUUUGUUUUUUAACUUUGUUAAAGGUAAGAGUAGAGGUAUAAGGAGUCCAAUCAUUCUAGAAAUUUCCUUGACCCAUCAUUUAUGGAUGAAUGAUCCAAGUGGGGAAGAACUGAAACAACCUAAAUUUUUGGGCCUUGAAAAUUCCUUGAGCUUCGAGCUCUCUGCCCUGGUUAGGACUGGACCCAAUGAGUCGUAAGGUGUCCUUAUGAGCCAUUGGGAUAAGUCAUAACAAAACUAGUAAGUCUGUGGCUUGAUUCUUUUCUGAUUAUGAGUGGCUCACUAAGAGCCUAAGGAUACGUUACGAGUCAUUAGGUGUAGUUGUAGGGUGUCCAGUGUAAGUCCCAAUUUGGGUUCUGUGUUGACUACGAUUGGUACUAUAAGUCGUAAGGUGCUAUUAUGAGUCCUGUGGUUGAGUUGUCUAGAUAAUAGUAUAAGAUGCCUUGGUGGUAUUGCUUUGGUUAUUACUCGUGGUGACAAGUUGUAAGGAAAGGUUACGAGUUUAUAGUUGACUCGUAAUCAAAUAGGACACUUUUUCAGUUUUUAGGUUGAAGGCACUCUAGACAUUUCCCACGUUAACCUCUUAGACCCCUAACUUAAAUCCUCCUUGAGGUUUCAUUAUCAUAUCAUUCCUAAUAAAACACUCCCAAAUUAUCUCUCAAACUCUUUGUUCAUGUUAAGGCUAGGGUUUCAAAGAAAGUGGUCAUCUAGGGUUCUAAGGGUGUAUUAUUCUCCAAAUUUCUUGGUAUUUCAAGAAUAUUACUAUUCCUUCAUUGUCAAUUUUUUAAAGCAUGUGAUUUAAAGUAUUGUUCAUGAGAUAUUGAUGUUGGGUUUUGAACUAUGGGUUCGGGGUUUUUAAUAUAAAUUGUUUAAAUGUUUUCCAUGAUAUGUAUGAAACUACUGUGCAUAAAUUGAUGGUUGGUAAAUGAAUUGGGGUGCAUAGGAAUGGUGGAUGGAAAUAGGGGUACAAAGGAAAAGACAAAUUAAUUAGUUUGGUAUGGAAAUCGAUAACAACCCCAACCCAUUUUCAUAAUUGUUUUUGGUUUAUGCAUUAUUACUUGGUUUGGUUUAUUUCUUGAAAUAAUGCAUAACACAAAUGGCAAAUUGGUUAUGGAUGGUUUUGAAAACCUUUUGGGGUAAACAAGAAUCCCUCAAGUAAUUUUAAUAAUAGAGUAUAUGGGGUACAUGGGAAUCCUCUAAGUGUUGGUUAAUGAAAUUACUUGCAAGCCAUGUUCGGUAUGACGGUACCACUUAAUAAUGCCUUAAUGUUUUUCUCCUGAAAUUGGUGGUUGGAUUAUGUGUUACAUAUUUUAAUUGGGUAAUAAUAGGAGUUGUGUUGGCUAGUCGUGAAGGUGUGAGUCCAAAGGACUAAUACUGGAAACCCAUGUUUGCCGACAUAAGGUUGGUCUUCAUGACCAUGUACUUGUUGGGUACAAGGUAAUCUCCAAGUUUAUAUUCAUAUAUAUGUAUCCUGGAGGGAAAAGGUUAUAAGAAAAUCCCCGGUUAUCUAUGAUAUCUCCGAUUUGGCUAGAAUGCACUGGGCCCAUUCAGCGGGUAACACUGGACCCAUAUAGCCCAUGGGUGGAUUUGUUACGGUAAAGUGACACAAACUCAGGUUAAAGUUUUAAAGUUCAUGCUAAGCCCUAUCCCAUCAUUAUGUCUAUGUGUAUAUAUAUCAAUGUGCAUGGAUGUGUACACGUGCUUUGGUUUGACUUGGUUUUGAAUUGAUGGCAUUAUUUUAUCCCUAUCCUUGAGUUACAUACUAGCGUUCACCCAAGCUAACCAUCUUCGUACACUGUAUCCCUACGAGAUAUAGGAACUAGCCAUACUUUUACCUCUCCUACACUGUCUAGGAUUCGGGAUCAACUCGUGAGUCAGAUUGAAGAAGUAAGCUUUAUACUUUGUUAGACCCUAUUUUAUUUUUUGGUUUAUUUCAUAUUUUGACUAUUUUUUGGACUUGGUCUUAGCUAUGAUCGGAGGCAUAUCUCGACUGGAUAUUUUUUAUUUUUUUUUUACCCUUUCUUGGACAUUACUAUGGACUUGGGUUCGGAUGUUGGUGGUUGUUUAAAUACUUAUAUUGGAAUCCUUGAACUUUAUUCUUUAUCUCGUUAUAUUUUCUGAAUUCAUCCGACAUGGGAUGUAAGGUGCUUUUUGUUCGAGAAAAUAUGGGGUGGCCUUCGGUACUUGUUGGACUUGAGGUACCUGACGCGGCCAGACCCUGGUUUGGUUCGAGUCAGAUUGGUACCAGAGCCACUUUUGUGUCAGCCUUGUCGAUGAAGUCCAUAGUUCAAAUGAGUCCAUACGAAGGUGUCUAUGUAGCAGCCCAACUUAGGAUAAGGAGUCCCACAUUGGAAAAACACAAGAGAGAUGUUGGGUUUAUAAGUAAGCAAGUCUAACUCCCUAGUAAUGCAUUUUAAAGCCAUGCAGGCCUGGGCCUUAAAGCAAACAAUUUUAAUAGUGGGUUAGGCCAGUUCAAUUGGUACCAGAGCCUAGGUUCAUGGUCAAUUGGGUGUCCAAAUAUCCAUGUCAAGUAGAGUCUCUUUUAUGGGUGUGUAACACGCCACACUUAUAAGAGAGAGGCUACAAGGCGUUUAGGAAUAUUUCCCUUUCUUGUUGUUCUAUUUUAAUCUGUAGAGUCUAAGGUCUUGAAUCUCCUCUAAUUCCCAUUUGUUUCCUUUUAAGAUCAUGCCUCCUAGAUAAUCUAAAGCUCAUGGAAACUCUUUUGUCCCACUUGAGGAUAAUAUUGAUGGGACAUACCCUGCUUAUAGAGUACGAACCUGGUCUAAGGGUCUAAUCCUUGAUUGCCCUUAUGGAGUUCCAUUGGUCCCCUCUAUUCCUCCACGAGCUCCUUAGGAUGAUGUGUCAAAUGUAUAAUUUCUUCAACCCAUUCAUUUAUUAGCUCAGUUGGUAAUUUUUUAGUCCGAGCGUGUAGCUUCUGUUACUCCAUCUUCUGGGGCCACAAGGGUUAGCUAGUUUAUGAGGUUGAGUCCUCCUGUGUUUAUUGGUUCUAAAGUGUAGGAAGAUCCUUACAACUUUAUCAAUGAGAUGGAGAAGAUCUUUUGGGUUAUGCAUGAUUCGGAUGUUGAGGGUGCAGAAUUUUGUGGUCGAUUGCAUCAUGGUUUCUGUGAUGAGGGGAGGACAGGUGCUUCAAGUGUGGUCAGCCAGGGCAUAUGCUUACAAACUGCCCCAUAGGUAAGUUUCCUUCUAGAGUUAAUAAGGUUCUUGUUGCUUCUUCAUCAUCUCCUACACCAAAGGGUGUUGCUUCUGCUUCUGGUACCGGCACUGGCUGAAAUCAUCUGUACACCCUUGCUACCCGUCAGGACUAGGAGGAAUCUCCCGAUUUUGUCACAAGAAUGUUAUGUCUCUUUUCUCAUGAUGGGUAUUGUUUACUUAAUCUGGGGUCCACUCUUUCUUUUGUGACCCCAUUUGUGGCUAUAUAUUUUGGUUUUGGUCCCGAGUGUAUUUUGGAUCCUUUUUCUAUUUCUAACCCGGUGAGUGACUCUGUGGUUUCUAGAAGAGUCUAUAGGGGUUGUGUGGUGUUUGUUGGUGGCAAAGAAACUUUGGUGGAUUUUUUUAAAUUAGACAUGGUUGAUUUUGAUAUUAUAUUAGGGAUGGAUUGGUUGCACUCGUGCUAUGCCUCCUUAGAUUUUUGAACCCGUAAGGUCAUGUUUAAAUUCCUUAAUGAGCCGGCUGGUCAUUGAGUGGGAAGGUGGUUCUGUAGUGCAUCAGGUAAGAUUCAUAUCACUUAGAGCCCGGAAAUUGAUUUUCAAAGGUUUCUUUUACUAUUUGUCUAGGUUAAAGAUUCUAACUCGAAGGACCCUUCCUUACAAUCCAUUCCCAUGGGUAAUGAAUUUCCUGAGGUUUUUCUUGAUGAUCUUCUUAGUAUCCCUCUCAAUAGGGAGAUUGAUUUUGGGAUAGAUCCCUUUUCGGACACUCGCCCUAUUUUUAUCCCUCCUUAUAAAAUGGCUCCAAUGGAGUUGAAGGAGCUUAAGUAGCAGUUAAAGGAUCUCCUAGAUAAAUUUCUAGGAUGUCUCUGUGGGGUGCUCUGAUAUUAUUCUUGUGUAAAAGGGAUGGUUCCCUUCUGAUAUGUAUUGACUACCGGCAAUUGAAUAAGGUCACGGUAAAGAACAAGUAUCCUCUUCCUUGGAUUGAUGAUUUGUUCAACUAGUUCAGGGCGCUAGAUGUUUCUCUAAGAUUGAUCUUCGGUCGGGUUACCACCAGCUAAAGAUUAGGGAGGUGGAUAUACCUAAGACUAUCUUCCGAACCCGGUAUAUUCAUUAUGAGUUCUUAGUCAUGCCUUUUGGUAUGACUAAUGUCCCGGCGGAAUUCAUGGACUUGAUGAAUAGGGUCUUUUGUCAGUUUCUGGAUUUGUUCGUUAUUGUGUUUAUAGAUGAUAUUCUGGUGUAUUCCAAAAGUGAGGUGAAUCAAAUACCAAUAUUCAUGACUCCUCUCUGGCACGUCACUUGGUAGAAUGUCUAUAAUGAUGCACGGGUCAGUGUUUCCAAUAUUUACUUAGUGGUACCAAUGUUUCAAAAGUGCAUAUAAUAUGAGGAUGCAAUACUCGCAACUAACCAGAAUAAGAGAUCUUAAUAAACAACCAAAAUGCCAACCAUGUGAGCCAAAUUCACUCAAUACUCACAACAACCCAUGAAAUCAACAUAAUCAUAUACCAAUAGAGAAAAUUACACAAUAAUAAGCCAAUGAUACCUCAUAUAUUGCAAUUUAGGCUUUUCACUAGAUAGAUACCACCAAAUACACAUACAUAAAGGACAACAACAUCAUACAAGACCCCAUACAAUCGCACAUAGCACAUAGUGUCUCAAAAUCGCUAAUUCACAACAAUAUAGCCUCCCAUAUGGGCACAACACAAUAAUGUAGUAAUUUUCAUGAUUUGGUUCCCACACCCUUAACAUAAUUUUUAUAUCCAUAUUAACUACCCAGCCCAAUUUGAAGAAAUCUAAGCCAUAAUGUACCUCGAAUGACAAAAUCAAAACAAAUAAGCCUUUAUCAACAAGCUUCCACCUCAUGCACGGACCCAGAAUUAUCUGCAACACACAAAUAUAGAAUUCACGCAUCAAGAAAGAUCUAAUGAUAGCUAUAGCUCCCACUUUUGAAUUCGGUUCAAAUUGGACCCCUGAAACAUGUUUUUGCAAAAGAAAGGUAAAACCAAAAUUUUAGUCCAAAUCAUAUUUCCAAAAUUAAACAAACUCCUAGGAUAAAACCCAAGCGAAAAUAGGUUAAAAUUGGGGUUUGAAUCGAUGAAAUGCUAUGUUGGGGCUUUCGAUCCAAAAUCCCCAAUUUCAACUUUUAGAUCAGAGUUUAAACAAGAUUUAAAUGAUAAAAUCAAAGAAAAAUAGUUGAAAUAGGAGUUUGGAGCUUACCCAAGCUUGGAAAUGGAGUAAAUAUCCUAAAAGCCCUAAAACUCAAAGCUCCAAGUCUCAAAAAUGGCGAAGAAAAUGAGAAAAGAAUUUUAUUUACCCAGGUGACGCUAAAGAGGUCAAGUAUCCCUUUAGUGGUCACUGCUAAAGCCAUUAAGUACCUCUUUAGCGAUACCCACCAAUGCAUACCAGUCCACUAAAGCGGACAAACGCCAUUUUAGCACCUACCGCUUAAGCGGAUAGUGCACCGCUAAAGCUCUCUUAUUCAACUGUACCCGACAUCUAUAGCAGCCAAGAGAUACUUUAGAGCCAUUCCACUAAAGUGGACAACAUGGCACUUUAGCGGUUGCACCAGCUAAGUAAUGCACGAAUUGUUGAGACUUGAAAAUUUUCAAGUCUAUACGGAGCCCUCGAGAUUCAUUUGGAAUAUCGAAAAUGCAAAUAAACUAUGCUACCCUAUCAAAUUCAAUGAUCCAGACUCAAUGGCAAUAUUAGAAUUUUUAAAAAAAAUAUUAUUUUUGCAUAAUUGACCCCCGAAACCUAUUUCACAACUUUUCAAAGGGAGGAUCAAAAUAAGAUACAAAAAAUCAUAAAACCACACCAACCAUGUUACCAAACUAAAAUUGAUGCUCCAAAUCUGCUGGCAUAUUCCAUUUUACCAUCCAAUGCACAAAUUAAAAAAUGUUGACCAAAGUCAACUAAUAAGCCUUUAAGACCAUCAAAAUCAUAAUCUCGCAUAAAUUACUUUAAAAUAUAUUGGUAAUUAUGCCAGUCAUCCCCAUACCACAAAAAUACCAUAAUGCAAUCAAGAAAAUGGGUAAAAUAGUCAAAGUACAUAGAAAUAAAUAUUUCACAAAAUUUAACAAAAAUCAAGUCAUAACAGCUUUAGUGAAGGCCAAUAUAGCGGUCUGUAUUGCCCUAGUGAUCCACUUUAGCGGCAGGCUAACUGCUAAAGUGCAUGUUGCUUAAGGGCCACCUUUUUUUAUUUUGUAACAUACCAGGCAUAGGCAUAUACUACUUUAGCAGCACUUGGUCUCUUAGUGCUGACCUCUAAAGCGUCUCGCUGCCAGCUUUAGCAGCACCCGAGAGCCAUUUAAUGCCCAAUUAGCUUGAUUUUCUCCUAAUUUUCACACAAGUUCAAGAGUGUAAAACCCUAUAAAGUGUGAAAAGUUGGGAUAAAUAUUAAUAGUUAAUUUUAGGGUGCUUGAGAGCUUGAAUUACUUGUUUCUUCUAUAAAUUCCUGGAAACUUUUCAUUAAUUUCUUGAUUAAACUCUUAAUAAUUUCCCAAAAUCUCUAGACUACUGGUGGGUUGAUUUUAGCAUCAUAUGAGCUCUAAAUUUACCCAUUAUUAAGGGUAAAUGUUCCUUGAGCAUAGAGGAACAUGUUAUUGGUUUCGAAAGUGUGAUUCCGCAAGUAGGCCCCAUAGGGAAUUUUUAUGUAAUUUUGGAUCCAAAGCAUGAAAAUGCAUUAUGGUAUCAUUGUUCCUGUAUUGAUUAGUAGAUUAUCAUUUUGUUAGCAUGGCAUCUUAUGGAGACACCUUGGAAGGAAAUUCACCGUUUUAUCAAAUUUCACCAGACUUUCUUCCACGUCCAAGUAGGCUAGGUUUGCCUUUCUCAUAGAUUGGGAUAAUUUAUAGUAUAUUUAUGAUAAUUCACUAUAUAUGGGUUGUAAAUUAAGUCUUCGAAGUAUAUUUAGUAUAAUUUAGAUCCCUUAGUCAAUUUAAGAAUUGUAAAAUUGCCAUAAUUGACAUAGUUACUCAUUCUUAGGGUAGAAUUGAUAUCUUAGGAUAGAAAUAUGGCUUAGUUAAUAUCUAGUAGUGAACUUAUAUGCCUUCUACUAGUUUGGAUAGAAUUUUCCUUAGAAUGUACCCUCCGACCCAUCUUAGGCCAAGGCUAUCAUUAGCUUCUUAUAGACUUAUUACGCGUGUUAUAUCUUUCAAUGCAUAUUUUAGAGUUUGAGGAGGAUAGAUUCAUGAUACAUAUGCUAGAUUGGUACUUGUGAGUUAAUACUAGUUCUAGGUCAAGUCCGGUAAUUUAGGAUUUUGAGUUCUGGUUUAAGUCUAACAAUUGAUUAUAUAAGUUCUGGUUCAAGUCUGGCAAAUGAUAAUGAUAUGAGUUCGAGUUCGAGUUUGGUAUUAAGAGGUUAUUCAUGAUAUGUUUAUGUUAUGGAAGUAUUCAUGGUUAUGGCUUUGAGAGGUGGUUAUUUAGUAUAUUUUUGGUUAUUUUUUCUCUUGAUUACACCCUUCGGGCAUAUAGGGCCCGCAUUGGAUUAUUUACUUUUCUGUACUUACUAGUUUAUGGGGGUCAGUUUUACAGUGAUAGUUAUGCGUUCUUUUGUGUUAUUAUUAUUUUGGAUUGUAUAUUUACUUACUUAUAUCAUUCAAAGCAUCAUUCCAGGUAUGUCAUUUUACUUGACUUAGCUUAUUUAUUUUACCUCUUUAUUAUAUUUAUAUUAUGAUUUACCUCAGUUAGUCGAUGAUGCCUAUUGACUACUGAAACACCUCAAACUUUGCCCUUUGCAAAAUUUUUUGAGCCUUCAAUAUUAUAUGCAUUAUAUGACUACAUCAUACCACACGUAUAGAGCGGAUAUGAUUUGAAGUCCUUGGUCAUAUAAUGGUUAGUAUCACAUUGUCCAAGUUUUAUUCUUGGUAUAAGAAGGUAUCAUACAAUCCGUAUGUUAGGGUACAAGUAGUAAGGUCCAAAUUGUAUGUUAAUUAAAGUGUUCUUGAUCACAUUUUACAAUACAACUUGAGUGGGUACUAGUCAUAUGAUAGGGUACAAUUCAUGCUAAGGAGUCGUAUAUACGAUAGAUUAUGGUGUCCAACAUUCUGAUCAACAUACGAGUGAAGGCUACCACUCAUAUGAUGUGGGUACGAGUGGAAGGGUAAACCAUACCCUCCUGCACAUAUUUUCCAAUUUUUUAAGAUGGGGGUAUUUCGGACAUUUCCCACCCCAAAACCCUUAAGACCCCAUGUCUUAUAACAUACUAUAUCCUCUCAUAACAUACUUUAAAGGAUCAAAACACUCUCAAAAUCCUUUCUAAACUCUCUCUUGAAGAUUGGGCUAGGGUUUCUACAAGGUCUUCAUCUAGAGGCUCAAGAGUCAAGUUCCUUUUGUGAAUCUUUAUGAAUAAGGCAUGUGACUCUUCCUUCAUUGUUAGUUCUCAAAUAUAAUAUGUUUUAAAGAUUUAUUAUGAUUUAUUAUUAGUGGUUUUAAAAACCAAUGUUGAGGGGUUUGUUGCAUAUGGUCGAGUAUUGUUUACUCAUGGUUUAAAUUGUGUUUGGACAUGUUUUUUGUGAUGGUUUGCACAUGUGGGUGCUUGGUAAUUGUGGAUUAACAAAUGGGUCAUUGGUAAACCUAAACUUGAUAGUUUUUACCUUAGUUUUGGUCUUGGUAAUGGUAUGCCCUCAACGUAUUUUUGAAAAUGUAUAAGAGAACAAACUAGUCACAUGAUGAAUUAGGUUUUGAACUAUUGUUUGGAAUAAGAAUGUUAAUGAAUGAUAAACCAUUUUGUAAUGGUUUUAAUGACCAUAAAUUGAAUUGAAAUGUGUUUAGAACUACGGCAUUGGCCUAAUAAUGUAAAUGGUUAGUAAAAGGUUUCAUGAAGGCCUUGUUGGACAUAUAUUGAUUUGAAUUGUAAUCCUGGUGGUUUAAACGACAAAAUGGAUUCAAGCCCCUAAAUUUUGAAUUGAAUUGAUGACUUUUUAUAGACAAUGGGUUUGAGUACCAAAGUCAAAUAAUAAUGGUUAUGGCAUGUUAUUCGCUUGCAAGCGGGUUGGUAUAACGAUACCAAUGGGAUGCCUUUAGUAAGUAACUAGACUAAUGGUUGUGUGUAUAUGUAAAGAAUGUUUUAAUUAGGAUUUAAAGUAGGAUAUGUAGCUGAGCCAUGAAAGUGGAGUCCGAAGGACUAACACUGGAAACCACACUAGCCGGUGUGAGUGUCUAUAUGGUUAGGAGGUUCGAGUCCCUUGAAUGGAUAUAUAAAUAGAAGGUUCGAGUCCCCUAUGUUGUAUAUGUUUGUUCUACAUAACAUUGAUAAUGUUGAGAGGUUUGAGUCAUUCAUAAUGGCACGUAUGGAUAUGGAUAUUCUCUGGUUUGUGCAGCUCCACACGCUGGGGCCCUUCCAUCUAGGGAAGAAUUAGACCCAUUUAGCUCGUGGGUGCCUUGUUUUAUAAUGGUUAUGCUACACAGCCCAGGUUAGUGUUCUCAAAGUUCAUGCUAAGUCGUGUCCCUUAUCCCAUCACGGUAAAUAUAUAUAUUUAUCUGAUUUAGACUUAGUACUACAAAAUGGCAUUAUUUUAUUUCUUUAUCCCGAAGUUACAUGCUAGCGCUCCAAUUGCUAACCGACUCUGGACGUUGUAUCCCUAAACAAUAUAAAGACCGGAGCUUCUUCUUCUUUUUCUGUGUAGUGACUAGGUGAUCCAGUGGUUUGUGAGAUCGAUAUUGAAGUGGUGAGCUUUCAUGCUUUGGAAGGCAUUCAUUUUAUGGUCCUUUAAUCUUUGUACUAGACUAGUCUUAGACAUUGUUUUUGGCUAUUGUCGGUGGUAUGUACCGACAUACUAUUGACUUUGGUUUUGUAGAGGCUUUGUGGAUUAUUGUGGACUUAGGUGUGAUAGUUUAGUAUGUUGUUUGAUGGAUUUACUUAGAUACUUUAUGAGAUAUUAUUAUACUUAUUUUUAUCUAUCUUGCUAUCUAUUCGGAAUUCAUACAACACUUAUGGUAAUAUAUUGGUUAGGUUAGGUUAAGAGGGUGAUCUUUGGUCUACGUGGGACUUGAGAUACCCAUCACGGCUAGGCCUUGGUUUGGGUUAUGAAAAAGUUUGUAUUAGAUCCUAGGUAUAUGGUCAGUUCGGUGUCCACAAAGUCGCAUCAAGUAGAGUCUCUUUUAAGGAUGUGUAGCAUGCCACUUUUAUAAGAGAGAGGCUAUGAGACAUUUAAGAAUGUUUCACUUUCUUGUUGUCUUACUUUAAGCUAUAGAAUCUAAGGUCUUGGAUUCUUCUAAUUUAUGCUCGUUCAUCUUUCAGAUCAUGCCUCCAAGAAGAUCUGAGGUUCAUGGAAACUCCUCUUUCCUAACUAGGGACAAUGUUGAUGGGCACGCUCUACUUUUGGGGUCUAGACCAUGUCAAAGGUCACUGCAUCUGAUUGUCCUUGUGGGAUUACACAUGCCCCCAGGAAUCCUACUCUUGAGGGAGAUACUCAUACUCAGUUACCUCAAGAGAAGGAUACUAAUGUUGAGUUUCAUCUCUCUAUUAAUCUGUUGAUUCAAUUGUAGAUUCUCAUUCUGAGUGUGGUAUGUCUGUUACUCCAUCUUCUAAGGCCACGAGAUUUGGUAUGUUCAUGAGGUUGUAUCUUCCUAUGUUUAUUGGUACAAAGGUUGAAAAGGAUUCUUAAAUUUUCAUUGAUAAAAUAGAGAAGAUAUUUUGGGUUGUGCAUGCUUCAGAGGUUGAAGGUGUAAACUUUGCUUCCUACCAAUUGAAAUAUAUGACAUACCAAUGGUACGAGGAAUGGGAAUAUUCAAGAGAUGAAGAUACUAGUUUGGAUGUAUGGGAUGAUUUUUCUAGUGCAUUUCUAGACUAUUUAUUUCCUUAGGAGUAGAGGGAAGCUAAAGCGAAAGAAUAUGUUAACUUGAAGCAAGGAAGGAUGACAGUCAAGGAUUAUACCUUUAAAUUCCAUUAAUUAUUUUGAUAUGCUGUUGAAUUAGUAUCUAAUAUGAGGGACCGACUGAGAAAGUUUGCUUUGGGAUUGUCUCGUGAGUUGAUCCUUGAGAGUAAGGCAACCUUGUUGAUCAAGGAUAUGGACAUCUCCAAAUUGGUUAUGUAUAUACAACAGGUUGAAUAAGAGAAAAAGAAAUAGGCUAAGAUUGGUGAGAGGUAGAGUAAAAGGUCUUAAUUUUUAGAACAAAGUGGUGGGCCAUUAACUGAGUGAAAAGUGGCCUAAUAGGAAGAGUUAGAAGAGUCCUAAUUCCUAUUCUAUGGCUAGUGCUCCCUACCCAAAGCCAUCGGGAGAUAGAUUUUUUCAGGAUGGUGAUGCUUCAAGGACACAAAGUGUCUAAUCUCAGGCCAGUCGGGCCUAAUCAGUAUUGUUCUACCCUUCUUAUAGAUUUUAUGGUCAGCAUCAUCGUGGUCAGUGUGAGAAGGGUAGGAACCAAUGGUUUAUGUGUGGUCAGAUUGGUCAUAUGCAAUGGGAUUGUACCUUUAGAGUUGAUUCUAGUGCAAACAAGGUUCAUGUUGCCUCUUUAUCUUCUCCUGCACAAAAAGGUGCCACUUUUGGCUCCAGAACAGGUCGGAACAACCUUUACGCUCCACUACUUAUUAGGAAUUUGAGUCAUCUUUAGAUGAUGUUACCAAUAUAUUAAAACACUUUUCCCUAUUUAUGGCUAUGCAUUUUGGUUUUGGUCCUGAGUGACUGUUGGAUCCUUUUAUGUUUCUACCCCGAUAGGAGGCUCUGUAGUUGUCAAAAGAGUCUAUAGAGGGUGUGUGAUAGUUGUUGGUAGUAGAGAAACUCUAGUGGACUUAAUAGAGUUAGACAUGGUUGAUUUUCAUGUUAUUUUGGGGAUGGUCUGGUUGCACUCGUACUAUGCUUCCUUACAUUGUAGGACCUACAAGGUCGUGUUUAAAUUCCAUAAUGAGUUGGUUAUUGAGUGGAAGGGUGGUUCUGUAGCUCGUUAGGGGAGGUUUAUAUCGUAUCUUAGAGUUCGGAGGUUAUUAUCCAAAGGGUGUCUCUAUCAUCUGGUCUGGUUUAAAGACUCUAACUCGAAAGGUCCUUCCUUGCAUUCAGUUCCAGUGAUAAAUGAGUUUCUUGAGGUCUUACCUGAUAAACUUCCUGAUAUCCCUCCCGAUAGGGAGAUUGAUUUCGGUAUUGAUCUCAUUCCAAACACUCAUCAAAUUUAUAUUCCCCGUAUCAAAUGGCUCCAGCUGAAUUAAAGGAACUCAAGGAGCAACUAAAGGAUCUCUUAGACAAGGGUUUCAUCUAUCUUAGUAUUUCUCCGUAGGGUCCACUAGUGUUGUUUGUUUGUAAGAAGGAUGGUAUCUUUGGAUGUGUAUUGGUUACCAGCAAUUGAACAUGGUGACGAUAAAGAACAAGUAUCCCUUUUUGAGAAUUGAUGAUCUCUUCGAUCAGCUUUUAGGGUGCCAAAUUCUUUUCCAAGAUUGAUCUUCGAUCUGAGUAUCAUCAGCUAAAGAUUAAGGAGGUAUAUAUCCCUAGCACUACUUUUCGUACUCGAUAUGGGCAUUUUGAGUUUUUGGCUGUCUUUUGGAUUGAUCAAUGCCCCAACGGUAUUCAUGGAUUUGAUAAAUAGGGUCUUUCAUCAGUUUCUAGAUUUGUUCAUCAUUGUUUUGAUCGAUGACAUAUUGGUGUACUCUAAAAAUUAUGAGGAUAAUGUCUAUCACUAUCGUCUUGUGUUGCAGACCUUGAAAGAUCAGCAAUUGUAUGCUAAGUUCUCCAUGUGUGAUUUCUGGUUGAAUGCGAUACAUUUUUUGGGCCAUGUUGUGUAUAGUGAGGGGAUUAUGGUAGAUCCUCAAAAGGUUGUUGUGGCUAAGAAUUGUCCUAGACCCAUGACUCCAACCGACAUUCAAAGCUUGUGUUUAGCCGGGUAUUAUAGGAGGUUCGUGGGGAGUUUUUCUUCUACUGUUGAUCCAUUGACCAACUUGACUCAAAAUAAAGAAAGUUCUUAUGGUCUGAUGCUUGUGAGGAUAGUUUUGAGAAGCUAAAAUAUAAGUUGACUUCAGCUCUAGUCUUAACUCUACCUAAGGGUAAAGAGGGAUUUGUAGAUUAUUGUGAUACAUACCGGAUUGGUCUAGACUAGUUGUUGAUUCAGUAUGGUAAGGUAGUUGCCUGUGCCUUUAGGCAGUUGAAGGUUCUUAAAAGGAGCUAGCUGACUCAUGACUUAGAUUUGUUAGUUAUGGUGUUCACGUUAAAAAUUUGGCAUUAUAAUUUAUAUGGGGUGAAUGUUGACAUCUUUUUUUAUCAUAAGAUCCUACAGUAUGUGUUCACUCAAAAAGAGCUUAACCUCAGGCAAAAGAGAUGGCUUGAGCUUCUCAAGGACUAUGAUAUGAUUCUUCACUACCAUCUAGGUAAAGCUAACAUGGUUGUUGAUGCUCUUAGAAGGUUGUCCAUGGGUAGUUUGUUGCAUAUGGAUAAGGAUAAAUGGGAGUUGGUGAAGGAUAUUUAUCGUAUGUCUAACCUUAGAGUUCGUCUCUUAGACUCUAAGGAUGGUAGUUUGUUAGUGUAGUAGGUAGCGUAGGCAUCUCUUUGUUUGGAAAUAAAGGAGAAGUAGGUGUUAGAUCCUCUUUUCAUGAAAAUCAAGUAUGAUGUGGUAGGCAAAAGGUGAAGGUUUUUGACAUUAAUGGAGAUGGUAUCUUUAGGUACCAAGAAAGGUUAUGUGUUUUGGAUGUGGAUGGGUUGCAAGGCAGGAUUUUGGCCAAAGCCCAUGAGCAAUAGUUUAUGGUUCAUCCCUGUUCGACAAAGAUAUAUCAUAAUCUCAAGGAGAUAUAUUGGUGGAAUAAUAUGAAAUGGGAUGUGUCCGACUUUGUGGUAAGUGUAUGGUAUGUCAACAAGUGAAGGUGGAUCACUUGAUGCUUGGUGGGUUGCUUUAAGAGAUUGAAUUAUCGGUGUGGAAAUAGGAGAUAAUUAAUAUGGAUUUUGUUGUUGGCCUUCCGCAGUCACGAAAUUAGUGUGACUCUAUUUGGAUCAUCGUGGAUAGGAUGACUAAGUCCACUCACUUCAUACCCAUGAGGACUAAUUUUUCUGUGAAGGAUUAUGCAAGGUUGUAUCUUCAAAAGGUUGUAAAGUUGCAUAGUGCUCCUGUCUCGAUUAUCUCUGAUCAUGGUACCCAAUUCUCAUUGUAUUUUUGGUAUUCUUUCCAGUGUGGUUUGGGGACUAAGGUGAGUCUUAGUACGACUUUUCACCCAAAGUCAGAUGGGAAAUCCCAAAGGACCAUCUAGACUUUAGAAGAUAUGUUACAAACUUGUGUGAUUAAUUAUGGUGGUAUUUGGUUCAACCAUUUACCUUUGAUUGAAUUUACUUAUAACAAUAGUUACCAUUCUAGUAUUGGUAUGGCCCCAUUUGAGGCAUUGUAUGGUAUAAGGUGUAGGUCUCCUAUUGGGCGGUUUGAGGUUGGUGAAGAGAAAAUGUUUAGCCCAUAUUUGAUUCACCAAGCUAUGGAAAAGGUGAAGGUAAUUUGGGAUAGGCUUAAUACCAUCCAUAAUCAUCAAAAGUCCUAUGCAGAUAUGAGGCAAAGAGAUUUAGAGUUUGAGGUUAGAUAUUGGGUCUUCUUCAAGGUAUCUCCCAUUAAAGGAAUGAUACGGUUUGAGAAGAAAGCGAAACUUAGUCCUCGAUAUAUUGGCCCAUAUGUGGUUUUGAGAAGAGUUGGUAGUGUUGUAUACGAGUUGGAUUUUUCCUCUAACAUGAGUUUCAUUCAUCCGUUAUUCCAUGUGUACAUGUUGCGGAAAUAUGUUAGUGAUCCUUCAUUGAUUGUUCCUUUGAAGGACAUUGGUAUCUCAAAUUCCUUGUCUUAUGAGAAGGUCCCGGGGAAGAUCUUAGAUCAUCAAGUUUAGAGAUUACAAACAAAAUACGUGGCUUUGGUGAAGGUUCUAUGAAGGAACCAAAAGUUUGAGGAACCUACUUGGGAGGCCGAGGAGGACAUAAAGUCUAAGUAUCCAUUCCUAUUCCUAAUUCCAUAAAAUCAUGCUUGAGGUAUGUGUUGUUCUUAACACCUUUGUUUUAUAUCUUUGUUGAUAAUAGAUUUGUGAAUCUCUUGGUGUUUAUUAUCAGUCAAAAAGGUAAUAGUAGAGUUGUUUGGAGUUUAAUCUUGUUUGUAGUGCCUCGUCCCAUCACUCAAGGACGAAUGAUCCUUAAGGGGGAGAAUGAAACACCCCAAACUUUGGCCUUUGCAAAAUUAUCUAAGCCUUGAACAUUUUGUUAACCAUACGACUACAUCAUACCACUCAUAUGGAAUGGAUAUGGUUUGAUGUCCUUGGGCAUAUGUUGGUCAGUGUCACAUUGGCCAAGUUCUGUUCUUGCUAUGAGAAGGCAUCACAUGAGUCCUAUGUUAAGGUAUGAGUAGUAAGGUCCAAAUCAUAUGUUAAUUAGUGUGUUCUUGAUCACAUUCUGCCUAGGAUACGACUUGAGUGGGUAUUAGUUGUAUGCUAGGGUACAAUUCAUGCUAAGGAGUCGUAUGUUGGACAGAUUAUGGUGUCCAACAUUCUGAUCAACAUAUGAGUGGAGGGUACCACUCAUUUGAUGUAGGUAUGAGUGGAAGGGGCAACUUCCAGCACACAUUUUUAAGCUUUUAAGUUGAGGGUGUUUUGGACAUUUCCCACCCUAAAACCCUUAAGACCCCACAUAUUACAACAUAUUAUAGCCUCUUAUAACACACUUUGCGGGAUCAAAACACUCUCAAAAUCAUCUCUAAGCUCUCUCUUGAAGAUUGGGCUAGGGUUUCUUCAAGGUGUUCAUCUAGAGGCUCAAGAGUCAAGUUCCUUCCAUGAAUCUUCAUGAAUAAGGCAUGUGAUUAUUCCCUCGUUGUUAUUUCUCAGAUAUCAUAUGUUUUAAACAUUGGUUAUGAUUCAUUAAUGAUGGUUUUGAAAACCAAUGUUAAGGGUUUUGUCGCAUAUGUUGAGUAUUGUUUACUCUUGGUUUAAAUUGUGUUUAUACAUAUUUUUGGUGAUGGCUUUCACAUGUGGGUGCUUUGUAAUUGUAGAUUAACAAAUGGGUCAUGGGUAGCCCUAAACUUGAUAGUUUUUACUUUGGUUUUGGUCUUGGUAACAGUAUGCCCUCAAUGUGUUUGUAAAAAUGUCUAAUAGAACAAACUAGUCACAUGAUGAAUUGGGCUUUGAACUAAUGCUUGGUAUAAGAAUGUUGAUGAAGGAUAAACAAUUUUGUAAAGUUCUUGAUGACCAUAAAUUAAAUUGAAAUGUGUUUUGAACUUAGACAUUGACCAAAAAAUGUAAAUGGUUGGUAAAAGGUUUCAUGAAGGCCUUGUUGGCCACAUGUUGAUUUGAAUUGUAACCUUGAUGGCUUAAAUGGCUAAAUGGGUUCGAUUCCCUAAAUGUUGAAUUGAAUUGUUGACUUUUUAUAGAUAAUGGGUUUGAGUCCCAAAGUCGAACAAUAACGGUUAUGGUAUGUUAUACGCUUGCAAGCAGGGUUGGUAUGACGAUAUCAACGGGAUGCCUUUGGUAAGUAAUUGAACUAAUGGUUGUGUGUACGUGUAAAGAAUGUUUUAAUUUGGCUUUAAAAUGGGAUGUGUAGUCGGACCUUAAAAGUGGAGUUCGAAAGACUAGCACUAGAAAUCACGCUAGUCAGUGCGAGUGUCUAUAUGACCUAGAGGUUUGAGUCCCUUGAAUGGAUAUAUGAAUGGGAGUUUCAAGUCCCCCAUGUUGUAUAUAUUUGUGCUACGUCACCUUGAUUAUGUUAAGAGGUUUGAGUCCUCCAUAAUGGCAUAUACGAAUAUGGAUAUUUUCUGGUUUGUGCGGCUACACGUACUAGGGGUCUUCCAGCUAGGGUAGAUCUGGAUCUAUAUAGCCUGUGGGUGCCUUAUUUUAUGACAGUUAUGCUACACAGCCUAAGUUAAUGUUUUCAAACUUCAUGUUAAGUCAUGUCCCCUAUCCCGACAAGAUAUAUAUAUAUAUAUACAUGAUUUUGGUAGCAUAUGAUGGUUUGCCUUGAUACUACAUAAUGGCAUUAUUUUAUUUCUCUAUCCCUGAGUUACAUGCUAGCGCUCCAACCGCUAACAGGCUCUGGAUGCUAUAUCCCCAUGCGAUACAGGGACUAAAGGUUCUUCUUCUUUUUCUGCACAGCGACCAAGUAAUCUAGCAAUUCGCAAGAUCAACAUUGAAGUGGCGAGCUUCCAUACUUCAGAAGGCAUUCAUUUUAUGGUCCUUUACUCUUUGUUUUAGAAUUGGCUUAGACAUUGUUUUUGGCUAUUGUUGGGGGUACAUCCUGACAUACUAAUGACUUCGGUUUUGUAGAGGCUUUGUGGAUUACUGUGGACUUGGGUGUGAUGGUUUAGUAUGUAGUUUGGUGGAUU
rnacentral:lncRNA from 1 species